rnacentral:lncRNA from 1 species
UCGCAAAUCCACCAUUCAAGUCCCUCUAGAAUAAUAGGUUAAUGGAGAAUGUGGUUUCUCUUUUUUGUUUUCUUAUUCUCUUUAUUUUUCCAUUCUUCGUUAAUCAUCAUACGUGGGAUCGCCCGUAUAUUUAUAAGGGAUUCCAAAAUCCUAAUUGCGUAAGAGAUAAGGCCAAAUCGAUUAUUAAUUAUUAUCCUAAUAUGAUUAGAUUUUAUAUCUAAAUAGCUUUCCAAUUUAAAAGCGAGAUUAAUCCUAAUCCAAUUAGAUAACAUAAUAACCGUCGGAUCGAGCCCAAUUAUGAGCACACCCGAUUCAAUUUAACUGAAUGCCAACAUACAUAAUCAGUCAUUCAUUAUAUCUCACACUUUAAUCUCUACCAUGCAUCCAACCACAAUCAACUUAUAUUGAUUUAAAAAAAAAAUGGAUGUAUUUUAGAUGGUUGAGAUUGAAGUGUAAGAUUAGGCAGAUAGAGCGGCAUCUGGAGCAGGGAAUAGUUUUAUCUUCUGAAAGAGACAUUGGUAAUGGGAGAGGUGUACAUUAAUUGGUGGGAUGGAUUUAGUAGGGGUUUAGGUGGAUCUUUAAUAGUAUAGUAGCCUAGUUCUAUAGAUUCUGGCUAUGGUGCUUUCGGUGCUUUUAAAAGCACCAAGUACUAGUGCUUAUAAGUUUUCCGCCAUUAGAUCUAACCCUUUAUCAUUUUCAUUCGUUAGAUUAUGCUAUUCAACCAACCACCUGUUCAAUACUAGAGGACCAUUAUUAUUUUAACCGCACAUCCCUUAAAAAGCAAAUGUUGCUUAAACAUUAGAAUUAUUACAUAAGCUUAAUUACUGUAGUAUACUUAUACUAAAUUUUGCAAAUUGCUAAGAUCCAAUAUAAUAUGGCUUACGGUACCAUUGGAGAAAUUUUGGAAGAGUUUGACAUGAGUUGGAACUAUUUAACACGAAAAAUAAAGCUCCUGAAUGAAAUUGUUUUCUAACCAUUUUUCAUUUCAGUACUAAUAUUGAAAUGCAGCGUACUGGUACUUAGAUUUUUACUCGAGUCAUUGAGAACUCAAGUUGGAUGUGGAUACUGGUUACCAUAUAUCGAUACUCGAGAUAGAGUAUUAGUAUACCUUGAGCAAGUGGCAGCUUGGUGGUUGGUAUCCGAAGUCCCAAGUUCGAAUUCUAGUUGAUUCACAUUUCCAUCUAAAUUUAUUUCUAAAUGAAAUAAACGAAGGAGGUAGCAUGCUACCCCCCUCAAAAAAAAAAAAAAAAAAAAAACAUAUCAUAGUGGCUCGAAAUCUAUAUCAGCUCUUUAGCAUAACAAACUGGGAUUUAUUUUGGUUUUGAUUCUUCAUCAUUUCUAUUCAAUAUCAUUGUGCUACCUCCUUAGAAAUUUGCACAAACCAUUUGCUUUGCGGCGAUGUAGUCACACGAUCACAUGAAAUAAUUCAAAUUACCUGCAAAGGCAAAAAUAGGCCGAUUCUAUUACUAAUAACUCAUUAAAAUCCAUCUAAUUAAAAUGCAUUAAAACAGUUGGAUAGUAAAAUCGAAAGGAUAACCUCCACAAAGUGGCGAAGCCUCCUUUUUUCUUUUUCUCUUGUUUUUUUUCUUAUUGUUGUAUGUAUAGCAUCUUUAGCAUGCUCUAUCCCAUUCUCUGUACCAUCUCACAAUUAUCACAAGUUCAUUGUUGCCUAAUCACCUCAAAAUGUGUGUAAAAACCUCCCAAAACUAAGGAACAAUUAGACCUAUAACAUCAAAGGCCAUGUUAGCAUGUUCGGGAGGAAGAAGAAGAAGAAGGGUUCGAGAAGUAAAAUUAGAAUCAAAACCGUAGUUGUCAGCUUGCAUCACUCGGCCGAAAGCAUCAGUACUGAGGAUGUGAAAGUUGAAGAAAUGAACUUCAAGCAGCAGGAUCCUCCAGGGAAGUACGAGAUAGGCAUAAUUUAUUGCGAGUGCCCGACAACCUAGCAAAAGAUAAGGCAAUAUUAAUUAAUCAUCAGUGAAAAUCUAGAUGGAAAAGGCAGUGUCCUCAUGCAACGCUUUUCAGUAGUUUAACACCAGCACCAAACCGUCCUAGGGCGGGCCGGACGACGUGGUGGAGGAGGAGGUCACCGACACGGAGUGGUUCUUCCUCGUCUCCAUGACCCAGUCCUUCGUCAACGGCGCCGGGCUCCCGGGGCAAGCCCUUUUCUCCGGCGCGGGGCCGGGUCGGCGGCGGGGCCGGUGCACGCGGCGGCGGCGGCGGCGGCGGGCGGGCACGCAGGCUUCGUAAUGAUGUAAUGGUGCACCAUUACACCAUUAAUACACCAUUAAUGGUAUUAAUGGUGUAAUUACACCAUUAAUGGUGUAAUGGUUACACCAUUAAUGGUGUAAUUACACCAUUAAUGGUGUAAUGGUGUACCAUUACACCAUUUUUUUUUUCGCCGACACCAUCCGCCGCAGCCCCUGGGACGUCCACGUCGUCGUCCUUUCGACGACGACGAUGCACGCCUCCUCCGCCGCCUCAUCCGCCGCCGCGGUGGUCGUCGCUGUCGGUGGCGCGGCGGAGGAAGAGGCUGCGAAGUUCGUCGGCGGCGGCAGCGGCUGGAGCGGAGCGAACCGGAGUGGCGCCCGGCCGACGUCGUCGACGCGUCCGGCGUCGGCCUGCUGCACUCGCCAUCGCGCAGGGCCGGCCGGACCUCGUCCAGCUGCUGCUGGAGUUCGGCGCCGACGUCGAGCCCCCGGGCCGCGGGCCGACGACGCCGCUCGAGGAGUCGGCGCCGGCGAGGGAGGCGCUGAUCGCGGAGCUGCUCCUGGCACGGGGCACGCAGCUGCGGCGCGAGGCCGGGUCGGCGGCGGGGCCGAUGCACGCGGAGGCGGCGGGCGGGCACGCAAGCGCGCUGCGGCUGCUUCUUCUUCUUCUUCAUGGUGUAAUGGUGCACCAUUACACCAUUAAUGGUGCACCAUUACACCAUGAAAUUACACCAUUAGUGGUGUAAUGGUGCACCAUUGUCCCCUUCCCUCCCUUCACAUGCGGCACGCACAGGGCCCACUCCAUCCUCGUCACCCUCUCCCACCACCUCCCCACGGCGCGCGAGGGCGAGCUCGGGGGCUCAGUGGGGGAGGAGCGGCGCGCGGGGGCGAGCUCGACGACGCGACGCGCGGGGGCGAGCUCGGGGGCGCAGCUGUAGCGGCGGAGGAGCGGCACGGGGAGGAGCAGGAACUUGGCGAGGAGGAUGGAGUAGCGGUCGCGGCGCGUGCCGUAGACCCACUCGCGGCGUGCGGGGUCGAGGUCGUGGGCGCAGCCGAAGAAGCCGACGAGGGGCGGCGCGGGGCCGAAGCGGGAGGAAGAAGAAGAAGAAGAAGAGGGAAAAANCGCUUCUCCAAAAAGAAUAAUUUCUUUCUCAAAAAAAAAAAAGCUCUUUCGAAUGAGAUUUUCGUGUAUUAUAAUCUCUCGCUGUUGUUAAUGUUUGCUUUAGAGGGAGAAGAAAAAAAAAGAAAAAAAAAAAAAAAAAAAAAAGUGCUCCAGCAGGAGGAAGAAGAAGAAGAAAAAGAAAAAGAGAAAAAAAAUUGCUCCUGCAGGAAGAAGAAGAAGAGCCCGCCUGGCGGUGCUCCGGCGACGCGCCCGCCUGGCCUUCGCUUUUUUUUUCGGCGAAAAAAAAAAGAACGAAAGAACGAAGAGGAGAGAGAAAAAGGAAAGAGAAAAAGUAAUAAGGGUAUUUUGGUCAGUUUGCUGAAAAAGCGGACCGAAUUUGCAAAAACGAAAAAGGUGACCCGAUUUUGCAAAAGCCCAAAAUAAGUGGAUUUUUUAUGCAAAAAGGCCAAUAAAAUAUUAUAAAAUUUAUAAUUUUAAUAACUGAUACAAAUCAUUUGUUUGGUUAACUGUGCUGAAUAAUCAAAAUAGAUUGUAUUAUUAUUAAAACAAUUUUGAAAUAAGUUAAGAUUUACAUUCCUGUUCUUGGAUUGAAGAAUCAUCUCUAAUUUUUUUGGGAUAUUCUAGUUCAUCUCUUUCUCUCGUGUCUCCCCUUCUUUUUCUUUUAUUUUUAUUUUUAAAAUUACCAUCUUUCUAAUUUUUCACAAAAACGUUCACCAUCUUUCUUUUUUUUAUUGUUUUUUUUUUAUUUCUCAUAUAAUCCUAACCACCAUAUAAAAAUUUCAACAAAUCACAUACAAUAUUAACAAUAAAAAAAUUUCUAAUAUUCUAUCCAUACAAUCCUACCAAUCAAAUAUAAAUUCCAAAAAUUCACAUACAAACUCACAUUUUUUUUAUUUUUCAUAUUUAAUCCCAACAACCAUAUAAAAAUUUUAACAAAUCACAUAUAAUCUUAACAACCUAAAAGAUCAUGACAAACAAUCUUCAAGAAAAGGGUAAAUGAUUCACUACUUUUGUAAAAAAUUAAAACCAUAUUUUAGAAAAAAUUCCAGCAUGACUCUUACAUAACAAAAGAAGAGUUAUUUAGUUAAAUAUUUUUUUAGUAGGAUCAUUUAGCCAAUUAUAAUUUUUUAAAAAAUUACUUGGAAACAAAAAAUCCUCUUUAUGCAGUAGCUUGUGGCUUCCAAAGUUUUAGAGGAAACUAAUCUAGCAAAAAGAUAAAAGCAUAUCAUAGUGGCUCAAAUUAUAUCAGCUUUUAGCAUAACAACACUGGAUUUAUUUUGGUUUUGAUUCUUCACUCAGUUCUAUUCAUAUCAUUUGCUACCUCCUUAGAAAAUUUGCACAAACCAUUUUGCUUUUGCGGGAAUGUAGUCACACGAAUCACAUGAAAUAAUCAAAUUAAUCCUGGCAAAGCAAACAAUAGGCCCGAAUUCUAUUACUUAAUAACUAUUAAAUCCAUCUAAUAAAAUGCAUUAAAAAAGUUGGAUAGUAAAAUCGAAAGGACUAACCUCCACCAAAAGUGCGAACCUCCUUUUUUUCUUUUUCCUCUUGAUUUUUUUUCGUUUUGUUUGUAUGUAUACGCAUCUUUAGCAUGCUCAUAUCCUCAUUCUCUGUACCAUUCAAAUUAUCACAAGUUCAUGUUGCUAGAAUCACCUCAUAAAUGUGUAAAAACCUCCCAAAACAAGGAACCAAUUAUGACUAUUAACAUCAAAGGGCCAUGUUAGCAUGUUCGGGAAGAAGAAGAAGAAGAAGGGUGCGAGAAGUAAAAUAGAAUCAAAAACGUAGUUGUCAGCUGCAUCAUCGGCCGAAGCACUUCAGUACUGAGGAUGUGAAAGUUGAAGAAAUGAACUUCAAUCCAGCAGAUCCUCCAGGGAAGUACGAGAUAGCAUAAUAUGCGAGUGCGACAACCUAGCAAAGAAAGGCAAUAUUAAUUAAUCAUCAGUGAAAAUCUAGAGGAAAAGGCAGUGUCCUCAUGCAACGCUUUUCAGUAGUUUAACACCAGCACCAACCGUCCCUAGAGCAAGUGGCAAAGGGCUUGGUGGUUGGCACCCAAGGUCCCAAGUUCGAAUGCUAGUUGAUUCACAUUUUUCAGCUAAGUUUAUUUCUAAAUGAAAUAAACGAAGCAGUAGCGUGCUACCUAUUUCUCAAAAAAAAAAAAAAAAAAAGUUUAACACCAGCAGAAUCGCUAUCUGAGGAUAGCUGUUAGAAUAAGCCCUAAUGGCUUUUCCAUGAACUUACCCCUAGAGAAUAUCAGUAGUAGAUACAAGGAGAAACUCCAAAAUUUGGAGCUGAGGCUACUCUCAACAUCUUGCCAUGGGCAGAAAUAGGGUUCCAGUUGGUCCAGUUUGGUUCACUUUUGGAGAUAGUCAGAUAUUGUUAUUUGAAGAUUUUAAUUUAAUCCAACCGAACCGAAAACCAAACAAAACCAAACCAAAUCUAAUUCGGUUUGAUUUGGUUUAAACAAUUGGUUUAAGGUUCUCCUUUAAGUUAAAAAUCUUUAGCAGUUUCACAAUAACAGCAUAGUGAUUUAGAUUGGAUAGCUAUAAUUUAUUAUUUCAAACUGAAGUGACCAUAUAUGCGUUCAUUACAUCAAAAUUUGUUAAAUAACAUUUGUGAAUCAAAAUCAUACAUUAGUCAAGCAUGCAUAGCAUAGACAUGCAUAUAGAUUGUUAUUCAAUUGCGCACCUGGCUUGAUUUAACAAACCAAAUGGAGACCAAAAUAUAUAAAUUUUGUAUAACGAAACCAAAGUAGAAUUCAAAUAAAUCAAAUGAAAUUGCUUUAUUUGGUUUGGUUUUGCUUAGUUUAGUUUUGGGGCCAACUACAAAAACACUCAGGCAGAACUUUGGACUUUUUGUUUGCCAAUUGUAUGUGCUUUUGCUUCUUGAAUAGAUAAACUGUUCUAAAUACCAGGCGAACAAGCCCUGGAACUUCAUGAGUAUUAGUGCAUAUCAUCAUUGAACUUAAACAUGGUGAUUGAAGAUUGAUACCUGAAGAACGGAGAAGAAGACAAAGAGAAUGUAACUGUGACGCACCACAGACACAUAUAUGGUGCCAAUCAUGCUUCCAACAAAUCCCAGGGUAAAAGGAAGUCUCUGCAGCAAAGAUAAGACCAAAUUAAAUAUAUAUCACUACCACACAUUUAAGAGAUGAUCUAAGUUUUCCUUAUCAAGAUAGAUUUUGUGUCGAAUAGAAGUUCAAGGAUCAAUCACAUGCAGUGGACAUAUACAAUGAGCCUUGGAACAUUUCUUUAAUUAGCAUAGUGGUAAUGGUAUUUACUAAUAUAAAUGAUGCCAUUGUACCACAAUUAACAAAUGAUCUUUAGUACGAAAGAAAAACCAUGUAUUUUAGAGGCCUAGAGUAAAGGAUGACCAAGACAUUUUCCUUUUCAUCUUGUAGCACUAGUCAAAUGCUUGCAUUUAUUGGUACUAUAAAAAUUACUCAUUUAUCAAUUGUUACCACUUGGUGAUGUGUUUCACACUAUUUAACAACAAACACCAUGGAAACAACAUGCUAAUGGAACAAAAGAUAUAAUCUAAUGAUGUGCAUUUCGCAUUUUGUUAAAUUAUAUGAAACAACCAUUAUUCUCCAAAAACUUAAGCUACUAAAACGGUGUUUUAAUAUAAUAUUCAACACUCCCCCCAACAUCUAGGCUUAAGGCUAUUCGAUAAGCCUAAGACGGGGACAUAAAUUAAAUGCGAGGAAAUUAAUUAUACUAGGAGUUUGGCGGGACUCGAAUUCAGAACCCUCUGCUCUAAUACUAUGUUAAAUUAUAUAAAACAACCAUUAUUAUCCAAAAGCUUAAGCUACUAGAAAACGGUGUUUUAAAUAUUUAGAUUCAACACAUUGAGAAUAAGAUGUAGCCAUGUAGGAGGCACAAAUCCAAUAGAAAGACAGAACGAGUUAAAAAGGGACCAGAAGACAAGGGAGGCACCAAAACAUUUGGAAAAGUAUCUAUACCAGUACUCCAAUAUAUCAUGCAAUGAGAAGGCAAAAAUACUAAAUCAGAUUUCCCAAGAUAUGAAAUAUCAAUGAAAAUUGGACUUUAAACAUAUGUGUGCUUACAUCAACUCUAGAAAAAUUAAGAAAUAAACUAAUUGAUGCUACACCUCAAUUAACGAAAACUACGAUGGCUCCACAAGUCCAGCCCAAACUACAGCUUAGGGCCUCAUUUGGCAUUGUUGCCAUUUCUAACUUUCUAAGUUGUUUUGAUAAACAAGAACUCCAUGUGGUCAGAUGUGCCGGCAUAUGGACUUCCCUAUUCUUGUCAUCAUUGACUAGCACCCUGCCCAGACGCCUGAAGGCAUCUUCUUCAAAAGAACAUAUAAGUGAAAAAAAAGCAACUAAGUUCUUAUAUUUUGUUGCCAAACAAACCCCGUAGAUGUACGGAUUGCAAGCACUCCACCAUUUACCAUACAUCCUAUUACAUAAAAUCUGUGUUUAAAAAACAAAACAAAUGAAGAUGAUACCAAAUGACGCCUGAGGAAUAAGUUACUUCCGUUGGCACUCUACUCACUCAUCUACAGAUAUAUUUCAUGCAGCUGGACCUCCAAAUAUAGUAACUGCGAGUGCACAUGCUUCGAUCUUAGAACAUAGUUAUAGUCAACUGGAUUUGCACCUUUGCAACCAAAGAGCAAGCAAUACUGGUUAAGUUUCAGAACGAAAAAUUUGACAGCAAAACCAACAGUAGUACCAAAAGAAUGUGACUCAGUUGCGAAGAUUCGGGAAAAAUCAUAAUUAUUUCUAUGGCAACUGUCGGAAAAGGCAAGACCGAAAUUCUAGUCCUUAACAAAGUGUUGUUUGGUUAUAAUGGGAAGCAAGAUUAUACUGCAAUUCUUUCAUGACGACAGAAACUAGUUACUAUCCUUAAUACAUCUAAGAAAAAUACCACUCAAAAAAAAAAAAUCACUUCUAAACCCUUGCAAUCAAGUCAUACAGGUUGACCUCAAACAAAGUCUAAGAACAGCACCUAGGCAAUGUACUCCCUAGUCCUACCACCUAUGCUUAGAAAAUAUGAGCAAGUUUAAUGGGAACUCAACUCAACUCUAUAAUCCUCUAUAAGAUUGUAAAUCACAAUGAACACAAAUUGGAAAAUGGAAUCACAAAAUUAUUUUGCUGAAGAAUUAAAAGUUCUACCUCUGUCUCUUAACCCAUCCAGCAUGAGAUGCCACACCAAGUCACGACGAUUAUCCAAAUCUAUUUCUUAUCAGAUAAUAUAUCCUAGAUCUUAACCCUACUACCCAACACUAACUGAGUGUGAGAUGCAAAGACAAGUUUGUUUAUAUGCAACUGUAAAAGAAACAACAUGGAUCUUCCUCUUAGGAGCAAAUCAAGAAUCAUAGGGACAUGACCAUUCUUGUAUUUUAGCUGCUUUCUUAGGCUUCCAAGCUUGGAAAAAAGAUAACUCAUUGUGCUAUUCUAUAUCUAACUAUAUAUUUGCCAUUACAUAGCUUUCCUGAUGUUCAUAAUCAAUUUGACAAUAUAGUUUAAUCUACUUCUUACAUCUUUAACUGCUCUUAGUUCUCCACUCUUAAAUAAUAUUGAAAAAGGAGGAACAGAAAUUAAAACAAGAAAUAACUAGAAUUAGAACCUCUUUAGAAGCCAUGUGAGCCAGCUGAUACUUGGCACCUUUAAGUGCGAAAAACGAUCCAACAAUAAAGGCAGAGCCAAGCGUGAAACAAAUGGCAAAUUUCUGGGGCAUCAGCACCAUAACUGGCAGGAACAUAGUGAAUGCAAUGAAAACCAGGAAGAUCCCACUGGCAAGGAGAAGACCAAAAUACAUGAGCAAUUUCCCCGAUGGAACACUGCUAGUAGCAGAUUGAAAUCUCCCUGGUAACUCUGUUACACCCUUUGAAAACCUGAAUAACACACAACCCACAAACAAAUAAACUUUCAUUAAUAUUUGAGAUGAAAGAUGGAUUUCUGCAAUUUGUACCCCUGCUAAUAUGCAAAAAUUGCAAAUAGCAAUGCAGAGUUGGUAUUGGCGCACAUAACCUUGAAAACUUUGCUUGAAUGCAAAUUAAUCCAAUUUUCAGAGGUGUGCAUGCUACUUCCAACUUUGCAGCGGUAUUUACAGUUUUGCAUAUUUGCGUUGGUAUAUAUGCUAAAAAUCAUAAGAAAGAAUAUGAAACAAGAGCCUCAUUAAAUAGAAUAAUCAACAAUAUUACAAAAGCCAUCAUAUAUAAACAGCUUCUUAGUAAUUCUUGACAGAGAUAUAUCACUUUGUUCUUUCGCCUUCCUAACCUAAUUCAUCCGUAAACAUCCAAAGAGCUAAUUAUUAGCACCUAUGACAGAUGACAGUAUGAUCUUCUUUUAUGUGUCAAUUCUUCUGUUAAUUGUCCUUAUUAGAUUAAAAUGUGCUUGAUGGUUUGUUCAGAGCUAGUGAGAUAAUUUGGUAAGUAGCCAAACAGUGUUCUUUACAAAAUCACAGUUAAUGUGGAGUUGUGGUAUUAGUCACAUGAUUAAAUAAGAUAUACAAGUAUAAGGUGCAAAAUACUAGUUGAACAAAUAGGAAGAGGUAUGUUUAAGGGUGAACAUUUAGACUCUUGAGUCAAUUUUGGACACAAACUGGAAUAAACGAGUUUUUGGUAAAAACAGAAUCAAAUGAAUAAAACUAUUAAAAUAAAACCGAUCUGAAGCAUAUGGAUUCUGUACGGUAAUUUCAAAUGUUCUGGGACUACUCAUUGUCAAACUUUGUUCUUUAAUGCUAUUCGACAAAACAGGUAAAUUUUCAAUCUAAUGGCUGUAGUUUUUAAUUAAUACAACCAUUAGAUGGAAUCUAAAGGAUGUAAUAUAACAUAAUCCUUAUUCACACUAAUAGUCAAAUAAAAUCCUCUUUCUUUUGUAUUUCAAAAUUAAAAGAUAUAUCAAGUAUGGAGUCUCCCCAUGAUUCAAUCAAAUAAACAAAAAGAUACAAUUUGGUAAUUUUCUUAAAUGCACACAUCUAGGUAACAAUUAGGCACUAAUAGCAGUAUAGCCUAACAUCAACAUGAAUCAUUCAACCACUUCCUCUCAAUUUUCCAAUUAAAUUGGGCCAGGAAGACUCUAAGAUACAGUUAAUUAUAUUUCAAAAUGUCGAAUUAAGCGUCGCAUUUUUUGAUGUUUGAAGACUAAAGCAAAGACAAACUAUCAUUCUUCUGUUUCCAUUCCUCUUUUUCCUUCUUCUAUUUAGGCUCUUGCUCCAAUUUUUUCACUUCAUGUAUGCUCUUUUUUCCGCAUCUUUCCUUAUGAUCGCACAAGGUUACAGACAAACAAGAAUACCUGAUUCAAAAUGUCUAAUCAGAUUGGCAUUGUACAACGUUGUUAAUUAUGCACAAAGCAUCUUUUGGUUUCUUGAUGCUAAACCAUAUCUUAGGCAACAUCAAAUUCGUAUUUUCCAACUCUAACCCUCACCUCUCCUUCAGAUAAAAAUUCUUGUUUUUUUUUUCUCUCUUGCUUCCCAUGUAACAAUUCUUAUCGCCAUUUUGUAAAAUUAAGAAAUGGGAGAAUCUAGUAACAAAUAUCAAAACCAUAACUACAAUUAAUCAACUCUUACUUAAAGAAGCAAUAGGAAACGAUUCAGAACCAGAUCGAUCACUGUAGUGGAAAAACUAGGAUCUAGGUCUAAAAUUGGGAUCUCCCUUACACGUUUAGGGUUCCGGCGAACUUGUCAUUGGCGGUUCUCACCGCGGCCUCGAUGUCGAAUCCGACGCCUCCCUCCUCCUCAGCAGAUCUCGCAGCGGCGUACGAGUUCCACUCUGCGAGGACGGAGGCGGAGGAGGCGCUGCCGCCGUCGCCGCCGCUUGUCGGGCCCCCCGUGAACCACGCCUGCGCCGUCUUCUUCAUCGCCGUGGGGGAGGUGGGGGCAGGGAAGGUGGGGAGAGAGAGAGCGCUCAGAGGGUUCGAAGAAGCAUCGCCUCCGCCAUUAAUGGCGACGGAGAGAGUUGGGGGGUGGGGGUGUGUUGGGGGCGGGGAAGAGUAAGUUGCAGUGGUCCCCAACUUUUAACUCAUUUUCAUUUUGGUCCCUUACCUUUCUUUCAAUUUGAUCACGACCUUUUCUAGUUUUUCCGCUUUGGUUCCUUACCUCUUCUUCCAUAUGCGCAUCAAUAUAAAUUAUAUAAUACAUACAUAUAUUAAAUCUUGAAUCUUGAAUUCUGACAUGAGUACAUGUCGCUCUCCCCACUCCCCCCUUUCCUCCCUCCCUUGCUCGCUCUUUGCUCGCUCCAGAUGAGAUCGAACAAGAUUUGCCCCACUCUUGAGUUCUGAUAGGAGUACAUAUUACUCUCCAAUUCGCCCCUUCCCUCCCUCCCUUGCUCUUUUCUCGCUGCGGAUGAGAUCGAGUGAGAUUUGCCCCGCUCCACCAAGAUCUAUAGCGUUGUACCUAUUGCUCUCCAACUCGCCCCUUCCCUCCCUCCUUUGCUCUUUUCUCGCUACGGAUGAGAACGACUGAGAUUUGCCCCACUCCACCGAGAUCUGUAGCGCUGUACUAGAAAUCUGCAAAGUACGAUACCGUACCUUUGCCGUAUGCUAAGAUCUAGCUUUGUGUUGCAUUUCGCGCAAUCCACGAUGGGUUGUCGACUUCUACAAUGGCCCCGCUUUCCUUUUUCCAUGUGCGGGCCAAAGGGUUGUCAAAAGGCUGUUGAAUACAAUGCUUGGCAGCACAACUCCCUUUCCCCCCAUCUUCCCCUUUCUACAAUGGCUUUCCUUUCUCAUUUACCUAUCCCUACAGUCGUCAGAUGUUCGUCUUACCUAUCCCUACAGUUGCCGGAGGUUCGUCGGAGGUUCGUCGCCUAAUGCUGAGAUGUAUGGACAACCCCCCUCCCUCCCUCCCUCCCUCCCUCACUCCCUACUACUACGAUUGCCACCUUCUUCUCUUUCAUCCUCCCUGCAUCGCUCCCUACCACUACGGUUGCCAUCUUCCUCUCUCUCAUCCUCCCUGCAACAUUGCUUAUAAAUACUCUUACAUCUAUGCAGAGGAAGCUUAAUGUCCUGCUAACUUUCUUUUCCAAGGUUUGUUUUAGAAGUUAGCAUUUGUAAGAACAAAAUCAAUUAUGUGUACUGUAACAACCCAGCCACUAUUAACAAUAACUCGUUGGGCUCAAACACCGACCCAAAAUGCUGAAGCAUAGUUAUUAUUACUAGUGUCUAAGUCUCUUAUAUACUCAAUUAUAUCCUCAUUCCUAUCCGAUGUGGAAUUAUUCGGGUGUAACAGACUCAUUCCUUAUCUGAUGUGGGAUUAUUCGGAUGUAACAGACUCCUCCUGUCGUAUCUGAUGUGGGAUUAUUCGGAUGUAAUAGACUCCUCCCGUGGAAUUAUUCGGGUGUAACAGACUCCUUCCGUUAAAACCCUGACGUCCUCGUCAAUCUAAUCACACACCCAGCUCGAGAUCACCAGGCAAUGUGAGACUCAUCUCGCUAGCCUUGUCACUAUCCGAUGUGGGAUUAUUUGGGUAUAACAGACUCCUCCUGCCGUAUCCGAUAUAGGAUUAUUCGGGUGCAACUGACUCCUCUCGUGGGCCGCAUCCGAUGUAGAAUUAUUCGGGUGUAACGGACUCCUCCUGUGGGAUUAUUCGGGUAUAACAGACUCCUCCCAUUAAGGCCCUGACGUCCUCGUCAGUCCAAUCACACACACAACCCGAGAUCAUCAGGCGAUAUGAGACUCAUCUCGCUAGCCUUGUCAUUAUUUGGGUGUAACAGACUUCUCCCGUUAAGGCCUUGACGUCCUCGUCAAUCCAAUCACACACGCAGCCCAAGAUAACUAGGCAAUGUGAGACUCGUCUCGCUAGCCUCAUCAUUCAGACUAGCAGGUCACCUUGUAAUUCAGACUCCGGCAUAGCCUAUAACCUUGUCUUUCAAAUCUUGGCUCAGCCGAGACUCGCCACACAUUUCCCUUCGACCCAAACACCGACCCAAAAUGCUUAAGCCCAAUUAUUAUUAAUAGUAUCUAAGUCUCUUAUAUACCCAAUCAGAUCCUCAUUCCUAUCUGAUAUGGGAUUAUUCGAGUGUGACAUGUACUUUCUUUAGGUGUAGAAUUCUAAUGUUUACACUUUUCAUGUUCUUCUAGGUUUUCUUCCCAUUCUCCUCUAGGUUUGCAUUUGCUUCUCCCUACUCACUGACCGGCACUCCUCUUUUCCUUCUGCUUUAUACGUUCUUCUGGUGAGUAAGGUGAUAGUCUCCUUGCCCCCAUUUACGAUAUAUAUAGCUGUUGGUAUCUUGCUCCCUCUCCAGAAUUCCUAUUGCAUGUAUAUCUAUUUCCAGCCUGGGGGUUUUAAUUUGCGACUUUGAAUGGCAGAGUUUGUUUCUCAGAUAUCAGAAUUGUAUUUUGCUAAAUCCCUUUCAAUAUAAAGAAGGGGGACAAGAAAGUAAACAAAAUAAAUAUAAAUUAGGGUGAAAAUAUACAUCUGUUGUGCAACCCCAUUUUCGCUCUUAAUGCAUGUAAAUUGAGGGAAAAAAAUCUAUACAUAUAUAUUAAAUCUUGAGUUUUGAAAGGUGAGAAAAAAGUUAAUCUAUACUUUUUCUUAAUUACAUUAAAAGGGUGAAGCCUCAACCUCCUCUUCGUGUUUUCGGGCCUGUGGUCCCUUGGAUUUUUUUUUCUCUUUUUUUAUAGGGCCCUCUCUCUCUCUCUCUCUCUCUCUUCCUCUCUCUCUCUCUCUCUCUUCCUCUCUCUCUUUUCCAUCUCAUCCUCUUUUAUGAGCUGAAGCCUUCCCCGUACGCCUUCACCUCUUCUCCGUAUUUUUGAGCCUGUGGGCAUUAACUUCUCCUCCUCUCUUCCACACCCUCAUCCUCUAUGUACGCCUCCACCUGCGACCCAAACCUACUCCGUGAUCGAAACUCUACUCCGUACACAUUCGCCUCCUAUGCAUCACUAGAACCAUACUUGCUCCAGGUGCGUCCAAUCUCUCUCCCACCUUCCCUAUAUGCUCAAACCCUAUGAUUACCUACAGUUUGUUCUCUCCCGAUUCGGCACUGUACCUUGCGAUAUCCCACCGAUGCGGGCAUUCAUUGUCGUUGCGGAUCAUUAACGGUGGUACCCUCUCUGUCUCUCCUAAAUGUCGUUGAUCACUAUUAUACCUCCCUAUCUACCGCUGGUGGGGGCAUUAAAUGACCAAGACGAUGCCCUCUCUGUCUCUCCCUCCUUUGCUUCCGAUUAAUACCGUGUCGGCACUACCUUCCGUACAUCUGUGCAUUAAAUGGUGCCGUGGGCCCUCCUCCCCCCUACAUCUUUCUCUCUCCGACGUUGCUAGGCUAUCUACUCGGAAAGGUGCGCAACUCGACAAUAGCGCUCUGGCCCGUCCCCUCUCUUCUCACUCUGUCCUGCUAUUUAUAUGCUCUCAAAUGGUAAGCUUUCAUGCCCACUUUCUUUCUAACUUGCAACCUUCAUUUUCUUCUAGUGUCGUAUAUCUACAGAAAGGAGAAUGAAGGUCUGGUGCUCUAACCCUAAUUGAUGCUCAGAUGGUUUCGUUCUGCCAUGCUCACUGCAUAAUACAUGCUGUGAUUUUUGCGCGCCUCUGUAUUUUUUAGAUUUUCCUUCAUUUUGUCGUGCCUACUAUGUGUGAACUAUUUUUUUUUUAAGAAAGCCCUGCUAUGUUCACAUUUAAUUAUUUUUUUGACUGUGCCAUUUUUUUCUGAAUUUAGGUUUUUUUCCUAAAUUUCGGUUUGGGAGUUUGGGGAUAAAUAGCAAAAGGUUUUGUGGGUUUGUGUUGGCUUUUGCUGCAAAACAAAAGGAAGGUAGAAUAGGGAACUUCUUUCAAAAGAUUUUUUUUUAAUUCAGUGAUUGGUGUUUUGAGUUGCUAAUGGUUUGUUUACACUUUUUCCUGUUGCUGUUGAUCCUUUUAUUCUUUGAUAUGAGGCACGCUGAUAUGGAUGAUUCUCAGAUAAAAUUUUAAUUUUUGGGUUAUUAACAGUUAAAUUUGGACUUGGGGUUGGUUAGAUUCUGUUAUUGCAUAAUUGGAUUUACUCUGUUGGGAACCGGAUGAAUCGUCCAUCAUGCGCUACCAACAAAGAUACAUGAAAGAAUAGAGAAAAUCGAACGAAUGGUAAAAGAAAUAAAUGCAGAAAGAAUAAAUCAAGAUUUACGUGGUUCGGCAAUUGCCUACGUCCAUGGGGAGAGUGAAAGAGAUGUAUUCUACUAUAUAAAGAAAUAGAAGUACAAGCUUACACCUUAUGUCUUCUCUUGGGUAAAAAAUCAAGAGCCUUAUGGUGAAUCGCACAUUUCUCUUGUUCCAAUGAAAACUACAAGAAAAUACCGAAAAAAAAGCUUUUCGUAAAACCAAGAAGACCAUAUUAGAGAAGUAUAGAAAAUUCUGAUCAAAAUCCUUACUUCGAAGAAUCCAAACCGCUCAGGCAAUUUGGUCGAGAACUGCCGCUCUGCUGCCAACUUCAAUUCGUCACAUGCGUGCUACCUCCUUUCUCUUGAUGUGGCUAUCGUACGGCUUCAAGAUCCGGCCACCUUUUAAUUAAUUAGUCUCUUUAAUUAAUUUUUGGCCACACCGACAUACGUACAUGCAUGUAUAUAUAUAUAUAUAUAUAUAGUUCUAACUCCUUAUCCUACUCUAAUUCAUAAUUAACAUGAAUUAGGUUUAUGCAUGGAAAAUCGAAUCUGAGUCCAACUUAAUUUGAAUCCACUAAUAAGAAUCCUCAUGAGAUCCUAUCUAUUAUUUCAUAGGCCCGGUGCAUGGACCAAAUCAAUAAAAAAGAAGGCAUAUCUUUAACAUUCUCCACCUUGACUUUUUUUUUUACUUCAUAACUCUCUCUCAUCUUAUCGCCCCCUCUCCCUGAGGCAUCUUAAUCACUAGCAGUCAUGUAAAUUAGCCAUGUUUAGACAAUGCCUAAACUUAUCCGUUGUUACCGGCUUUGUCAUGAUGUCAGCUAUAUUAUCUUUCGUAGAAAUCUUUAUAAGCUGAAUUUCUCCAUCAUCCUCAUUAGUGAGCUCCCGUAAUUUGUGAUAUUUGAUUUGUAUGUGCUUUGUCCUCCCAUGGUAAACUGGAUUCUUGGCGAGAUAUAUAGCACCCUAACUAUCACAACCGAUAAUCACUUUAUUUUGUGUGAUCCCGAGUUCACUAACUAAGCCUCUAAGCCAGACCGCUUCCUUAGUUGCUUCAAUUGCCGCCAUAUACUCUACUUCUGUAGUUAACAAGGCAGCAGUCCGCUGCAACGUAGACUUCCAACUGAUAGGUCCGCCGCCCAGUAGAAAGACAUAACCCGUAAUAGACCUACGCUUGUCCAAAUCACCCACAUAGUCGGAAUCUACAAACCCCUUCACUUCAUCAUUACCAGAAUCUUUCGAGUAGAGAAUACCUUUAUCUGAUGUGCCCUUCAGAUACCGCAAAAUCCACUUCACGGCCUCCCAGUGUUGUUUUCCUGGAUUUGACAUAUACCGACAUACAACACUAACUGCAUGUGAAAGAUCAGGCCUAGUGCAAAUCAUAGCAUACAUCAGGCAAUCGACUGCACUAGCAUAUGGUAUCUUAGACAUAGAAGUAAUCUUCUCAUUCGUCUUGGAACACAUCUCCUCAGAAAGCUUGAAGUGUUGGGCUAAUGAAGUCUUGACCGCGUUCGCCUCUGAUAUAUUAAAUUGCUUUAUAAUAGCUCGUAUAUAUGUCUUCUGCGAUAGCCAUAGCUUAUCCUGUAUGCGGUUGCGCCGAAUCUCCAUAUCUAGGAUUUUCCUAGCACCUCCUAGGUCCUUCAUGUCAAAUUCUUGUCUCAACUGAUCCUUUAAUUAUUGCACUUCAUCUGGAUUCUUAGAUGCUAUAAGCAUAUUAUCGACAUAUAGCAUAAGCAGAAUAAACGAGCCAUUUUUAAGCCUCCGAUAGUAAACACAACUAUCAUAUAAACUCCUGCUACAACCAUAUAGGAUCAUAAACCCAUCAAACCGCUUAUACCACUGCCUCGGUGCCUGCUUCAACCUGUAGAGAGAUCUUUUCAGUUUGCACACCAAAUUCUCCUUUCCCGGCUGAACAAAGCCUUGAAAUUGUUCCAUAUAAAUUUCUUCUGCUAGAUCCCUAUGAAGUAAUGAUGUUCGAACGUUAAGCUGUUGAAGCUCUAAAUCAAACAUAGCCACCAUAGCUAAAAACAUCCUUAUCGACGCGUGCUUUACCACCGGUGAGAAGAUCUCAUUGAAAUCGACUCCCUUUACUUACGCAUAGCUCUUGGCUACUUACCGUGCCUUGAAUUUUUCUAGCUCUCCAUCUGCACCUUGCUUCUUUUUGUAGAUCCAUUUGCAACCGAUGGAUCUCUUCCCUUCCAGUAAUGGAAUCAGAUCCCACGUCUGAUUCUUCUGUAAAGUCUCCAUCUCUUCGGUCAUAGCUGUCAUCCAUCUGCCACUAUCUCUGUCAUUCUAACUAUGAAUCAGGUAUAAGUUUCAUAAAACAAGCAAAAUUCAUAAUUGCAAUAGGAAUAAAAAAACAACUAUAAAUAUAAGUAUUUAACUGCAAGUUUGUAAAAACCAAAUAAAGCAUCUUUUACUAGUCCCCCUAUGCUACUAAUUGGCCUAUACUUCUUUAUAUUCUCUUAAAUCUAUUUAUUACAAAUUCAUCCAUCCACUUGCGCCGUAAAUUAAUAUUCUUAGCCAUAAAGAACUGAACAGCAGUUUCAUCUUGAUAGAGAUCAGCGAAUGCAGCCUCAUAUACAGCAUCAUCCCAACCAUCAACCUCUUGAAUCUUUUCAAAUAGUUGUUCGCUCUAGUGGGUACUUCUUUUUUUCAUAGCAUUGACCAUUUCUUUAACAGUAGAAACUAGAUUUGAUUGCCAUUCUUCUUGGACGUCUCUUUGUCUCUUCUUCUUUACUUUUGUAGUAGAUGAAGAACCAGCAAUUCGACAUCGUCAAUAUUUUUGCUAUUAAUUUGCUCGCCAAUAUGACCAUAAAUUGUUUUGCGAUAGUCACUAGUGGCUUGAUCAUCCCCACAAACAAACUUCAAGGCAUCAAAAUUGCGUAUAGGUUGAUUAAUAUAGUCCUUCAUUCUCGGAUUAGCCUACAUUAUUAUAGAAUAAAAAAUAAAGAGUUUAUUAGAUACAUAUCUAUUUGUAUUCUUGAAAAGAAGUAAAGUUAAAAAAAGGUAAAUAAUGCUAAUUGACAUACCUGUAUAUAUGCCUCAGCUGUUUCGGACUCCAUAGUCACCAUCUUUCGUUCAUCAUCCCAUCCUGCUCCGCUUUGUUGUAAAGCAGUCUUGAUGCCUUUAUAUUGUAUUUGAAGCCAUCCGAGUCUAUUCUCUACAUUUGUAGCUUCAAAAUUUGUGUUGAAUUUCUCAUUCAUAGCUAAAGCAGCCUGAUGGAAUUGGGUUUUUUUUAAAUGACUUAUCAGGUUUUUGUCCUGAUUUUAUCAUAUCAAUAAGUAUCUCUAGUAAAUAAUCUGAGUUCUGCAUCAACCAUCUCUUAUUUGGUGUUCCUUUCACUGCUUUAUUUUUUCCUUUUUUAUUAUCUUGUGUAGGCUCAUUUUGUGAUAAAAAACCAUCCAUAUCUAAAUAAAAGGAAACAAAAUAUAUAUAAAAUAAAUAUUUCAAGUAAAAUAACCAAAGAGAAAGAAGUAUUUUAUACAUGAUCUCAACACCUCAAGAAAAAUUGCUAAUUAAACACAAAAUCAGAUGAGUCACAAAAAAAUUUAGUAAUUAAAUGCAAAAUAAACGUCCAAAACACAAAUUUAAUACAUCCAAAAUACUUGUCCAAAAUCUCUACGCAUAUUUCUUAACACGACACGGUUCAAAUGUAUGAUAAAUAGCUUAUAAACUAAAAGUUGACAUAAUCCAGUUAAAAUCAUAUUUAGAUCUCAACGAGUAAAUAAUGGAACAACUUUAUAAUGACAACCAAACUAUCCAUCACUGAAAUCGGAGUCGCUCAAUUCAAAUUCAUCAAAGUAUGGAUCUAUAUUCGUAGGAUUAACAUAAUCUCUCCACAUUCUUUUCGCUAUUCAACUUUUAAUUGCUUUCCAAAUUCUAGAUUCACUUCGAUGAUCUUUAUAAGCUCUUCUUUGGGAGUAGUAGUUGACUUCGCCUUCUUCUACAUCGAUCUCAAUUCCUAGCUCAGAAUCAUCCAUGCGGAAGAAUGGAUCAUCUGGUGCUAUAGUGUGAAUGAAAUUGUGGAGUAUACAACAUGUAAGGACUAUAUCUACUUGUAUCUCAAAAGGAAAGAACGGUUGAGAUGUUAAAAUAUUGAAACGGUUUUUCAAUAUGCCGAAUGCUCGUUCAACUUUAGAACGCAAGGAUGAGUGGCGAAAGUUGAACAACUCUCGUUUGUUAGUGGGUUUAUGACCGGCAUGCUCUUUUAAAUGGUAGCGAGUGCCUCGAUAUGGGGCAAUAAAUCCAGGCAUUGUUGUAUAUCCCGCAUCAACCAGAUAAUACUUAUCUGCAUUAUGUAAUAUGAUUAUUAAUAUAUUACAUUAUUUAUUAUUACUACUUAACUAAUUUUUACCUUCUGGAACUCGAAGACCUUCUGAGGGUGGUAGAGAAAGUGCAUCCCUUAAGACGGUGAGAUCAUUUGCAGAUCCCUCCCACCCAGCUGUCACGUAUAUGAACCUACAAUUAGGAUUAACUGCAGCUAGCACAUUUUGUGUUGUUCCCUUUCGACCACGAAAGCGUGCAACCAAUAGUGCUGGCAAUCUUGCCUCAAUAUGUGUAUUAUCUAAAAGUCCUACACAAUUCUACAAUAAUAAUCACUUAUUAGAUGUAAUGCUAUAUUGUACUACAUUUAUUAAUUUUUAAUAGGUAUCUUUUAAUAUUACUUUAAAAUAGGGAUAAUAUCGUGGAUUUGAUUCUAUCUCGGGAUGAACCUGCGAACUUGCUUGAGUAACAUAUUGAUUUUUAAUACCGCAAAUUGCUCAUAAUACAUUAUUGAAAUAAUGGCUAAUAGUCUCUCCAGAUCAUACAAAUUCGAUGCUUAUGACUCUAUUUUUCAUAUUAUGGCCAAUCAUGUGAAGAAACAUUGCAAGUUGCUCCUCAAUAGAAACAUAUGUGGUGUUCUUUAAUAAACCGCUAACUUGAAAUAUAUUAGCUAAAAACAAAAAAGGCUUUUGCUCCAGCCGGAGAUAAUUAACGCAAUGCCUUGCCUUGUGCCACCUUGUAGAAUAUUCCGCAUACGGGUGUUUCUAUAUAUUUCUUGAAUAAAAGAUGGUUCUUUAGAAAUAUUGUUGCAUUUUCUUUUAAAUAUUCUAUUUAGAAAAAUAACGCAAAUAAUUGUAAUAGUCAAUACAGCCGUCUCAGAAUCAUCAUCACUCUCAUAAUCCAUCUACAUUCACAAGUAUUUUAUUCAUAUUAGUGCCAUAUACAAUAGUUAACAAUACUAUUUUGAACUAGAUAGUAAAAAUAAUAAUAUGUAUCCAAAAGAAAGAUCACAAAAUAACAAUUAUACAUCAAAAAUGAAAAUAAUAAAAUAAUAAAGAAAAAUAAAUACUAACAAAUAAUUUAUAGGUAAAUAACAUCUCAAUAUAAAAAUUUUGACUAUAACAUUAUAAUAGAAUAUAUAAUGUAUAAGAUAGUUAGAUCAAGAAAAAAUUAAAAAAAAAAUUGAGAGGGAAAAGGAUUUGCCUUGUAGGGUAGCCAAAAUAGAAUCUUUUAUUGGAAAAGAUUCUACUGCAGCAAAUUGUUGAGAACCUUUUUUUUUUUUGUGAGGCUAGGUGCGGCAGAGGAGUUAGGGAGGGCUCACGUCUUUUUUUGUUUUAUUUUUUGUUUUUGUUUUUUUUAAAGAUGCAUAGUUCUUUAAUUUUUUUUUGGUAGAUGAUAUAUAUGGAAUAAGGCACGUUUCUUUCUUCGUUUUUUUUUGGUAUAUAUGGAAUAAGAUACGUUGGUUUUUUUUGUUAAGAUGUUUAGUUUUUUUUUUUUUUUAGAUGGUAUGGAAUAAGAUUUUUAGAUGCGGUUCGUAAGUCGCAUGGAGUAGAUGUCCCACUUUCAACGACUUCGGAAUUUUUUUUGUCGAAGUCAAAAAAGUGGAUUUUAGUUAUAAUCCACUUCAUGGGUUCACUUUUCAAAAGUCACUUAUAUGUUUACUUUUAUAAUCCAAAUAACUGAAAUAAUCCCACUUCGUCAAAAUACCACUUUUAUUGUUUCACUUACGGGCAACCAAACAUGCCCUAAACGAAAGUUGCACUUUUUUAGAGAUAUUUACACUAUUUCUCCUGUUAAACGGUGCAGUUUACACAUCAACACAUCAAAGGAGAAAUAGUGCAACAAGAGGAGAAAUAGUACAACAAGAAAAAAAAUAAUAUAAUAUUUUCUUUUAAAAAGUACAAUAAGAGAAAAAGUAGUGUAAAUAUCUCUCAAAUAGUGUAACUUUCGUUCCAAGAAUGUAACUUUCAUUUUAAAGAUGCAGUUUACAUCUCAAAGAGUGCAAUAAGAGAAUAAAUAGUAUAAAUAUCUCUCAAAGAGUGCAACUUUCGUUUAAAGAGUAUAACUUUCAUCUUAAAUGGUGUAGUUUAUAUUUAAAAGAGUUCAACUUACGUUCAUAAUAGUGCAAUGUUCUUUUAAAAAGUGCAACUUCAUCUUGUUCUUCCUUUUUUUUCUAGUUUUCUUUAUUAUUCUCUACUUUUUUGCCAUUUAGAUUUUUUUUUUUUGUUUUAAACAAACAAAAGCGCUAAUUCAGAGAUGCUCUCUUGCAUUCCUCACCCUUCGCGCCUCCGACACCGUCGAGGCCGUGCUCGCCGCCGCCCUCUGGGGUAGGCGGGUGGGCCGCGUGCCCUUUCCCUCGCCAGCAAGCUUAUCGAUGCCAAGAAAUGCUUUCUCUUUAUCAUCGGCGAUGAUGGUGGGGACGCCGAUUUUGAAAAGUGGGUGCAAAAUCCGCUGCAGUGGAGGUGUAGGGUGAAGGCGGAGGAAGAAGACGCGUUACUGUCCUCGUUAUCGUCGCGGAGGGCCGUGGAGGCGGUGGAGGAGGAUCGAAGAGAAAAAAAAAAGAAGGUCGCAGCGCGACGUCGGCGGGGUCCGAGGCGAGUAGGGCGAGGCGUGUGCGGGCGAGGGUGAGGGCGUGAGUUGCAGAGACAAUGGGGGCCAUUUCCGCCUUCGCCUUCGUCGCCUUCUUCGGUGAGAAAAAAAAAAAAAACGCGGGUUAAAAAAGGAGAGAGAAAAGAGUAUAAGGAUAUUUUGGUCAGUUUACUAAAAAUUCGGACCGAACCUGCAAGAUCGAAAAAAACGGUUCAGUUUUACAAAAGUUCAAAACUUUAUAAAUUUUUUUAUGCAAAUUAGCUUUUUAAUUUUUACAAAAUUACUUUCCAAUUAUACUAUUUUACAGUAUUAUUUUGGAAAAAACAAGUGCUUUCUAAACAAUUGCUUUCUAAACAAUUCUCGUUCCCUCUUCUUCCACACCAUUCCAAAACCCUAACACUAUCCCCCUCCCCCCACCAUUAUUUCCUCCUCCUCCGUGAAACCCUAAACCCCGAAACCCCAAAUCCAAAACCCUAGCCAUGGACGAUAGCCUCUACGACGAGUUCGGCAACUACAUCGGCCCGGAGAUCGACUCCGACCGCGACUCCGACGGCGCCGACUCCGACCACGCCGCCUCCCAGAUCGUCCUCGCCGAGGACAAGAAGUACUACCCCACCGCCGAGGAGGUCUUCGGCGAGGGCGUCGAAGCCCUCGUCAUGGACGAGGNAUUUCCUCCUCCUCCGUGAAACCCUAAACCCCGAAACCCCAAAUCCAAAACCCUAGCCAUGGACGAUAGCCUCUACGACGAGUUCGGCAACUACAACGGGUGGAUCACCUCCGCGUCCGCCGCCGCCGACGACAUGGACACCGACGCCGCCGCCUCCCAGAUCGUCCUCGCCGAGGACAAGAAGUACUACCCCACCGCCGAGGAGGUCUUCGGCGAGGGCGUCGAAGCCCUCGUCAUGGACGAGGACGAGCAGCCCCUGGAGCAGCCCAUCAUCCAGCCGAUCCGCACCGUCCGCUUCGAGGUCAGGGACAACUCCGCCCCUCCCGCCGCCACCCACGUGUCCACCGAGUUCCUCCUCGGCCUCGCCUCCAACCCCUCCCUCGUCCGCCACGUCGCCCUCGUCGGCCACCUCCAGCACGGCAAGACCACGUUCAUGGACAUGCUGGUCGAGCAGACGCACGAGAUCUCCACCUUCGACCCCGAGAGCGAGCGGCACGUGCGCUACACGGACACGCGGAUCGACGAGCAGGAGCGCCGGAUUUCCAUCAAGGCCGUGCCCAUGUCGCUCGUGCUCGAGGACAGCACCGCCAAGUCGUACCUCUGCAACAUCAUGGACACCCCGGGCCACGUCAACUUCUCCGACGAGAUGACCGCCGCGCUCCGCCUCGCCGACGGGGCCGUGCUGGUCGUCGACGCCGCCGAGGGUGUGAUGGUAAUUCUGUGAUCGAUCUUUGCCUCAUCAUUUCGUUGUUAUGUACGACGGAUCUCCGAUUGUAAUGCUUUGCUGCCCUAAAUUAGUGUUCGGUCGCGGGAAUAGAGUGUGAAUACUGAUAGAUAUGAUUGCUUGCUCUCUGGGAUAGCCAUUUCGCCCGAUAGGCUGGAAUUAUAAAUCUUUUUAAGUAGACAAAAAAUGUUUUUGAAAAAAACCUUUUGAGUGCUGCCAAGUAUUAGCUUCUGCACAUAUCUUAAGGAAAUUAUUUUGAUUUUUUUUUUCCAUAAAUCUGAAUCCAUUUUACACCCGCUGUGGAUAAAAUAAUCCAAAUUGCCAUUGUGCAAAGGAAAAUGCUACAUGUACACCUAUCUAUAGGUGUAAAUCUUACACUAUGGGGCUGUUUGGUUGGAUGUAGUUGCAGAAACAGUGUAGUUGGAAAUACAUGCAGUUGCAAAUGCUGCAGUUAUAACUACACCUAGUCUGUUUGGUUUUACGCAGUUGCAACUGCUGCAGUUACAUUUCUUCUGUUUGGUAAUAUGAAGCUGAUAGUUGUAUUUGUGAAUUUUGUCACAUUUUUAGAUAGAAUGGUGAGAUUACCUUCACUAAACAUAAAAUAAUUGUAUAAGUUUAUUAAUCAUUUAAAUUUACUAUUUAUAAAUAAAUAAGUAGAUAUAUAUAAUAUUCUUCAACUUAUUAAUCGACACAUUUAAAAUUUUUAAUUUAUUUAAUUUUAAUAUGUAAAUCAAACUUUAAAAUUUAAACGAUUCUCUCAUUUUUUUUUAUCAAAUUUAAUAAUUAUAAUUAAUUAAAACUUAUUAAAUUAACAUACACGAUCACAUUCUAUAAAAAUUUUUUAAAAAAAUUAUAUUUAUAUUUUAAAUAAAAUAAAUUUAAAAAAUUUAAUUUUUUGCACAAAGCUUGUAUUGUCUAAAAAAUUUUAUUAGUAUGAGUUUAUUUACAAGUAUUUUUAUUUACCUAUAUACAUAUAUUAUUUAUUUAUUUAGCUAUUUAUUUAUUUAUUAUUAUUAUUAAUUUGUGGGUGAUCCUAUCCCUCACCAACUGCUGCAGUUGGAACUACGGCCAAUUUGGAUAUAGUUCCAACUGCAGCAUUUGGACCUUCUUGUGUAGUUAGAACUGCAGCAGUUGAACUCAAUUACAUUAAACCAAACAAAGGAAUUGAGGCUGCACGCAUUUGCAACUGCACUGCCGUUGCAAAUGCGUGCAACCAAACAGCCCCUAUAUGCAUCCUAGGGUUCACAAAACCCUUUAGAUUUUUAGUACCAAAAAAAAUAAUUGAUAAGACUAGUAGGGAAUAAGAACCCUUGAAUGAGUGGAAUGUAAGUUGUACCUCUAGUUUAGAGGGGAACAGGUAACAUUGCUCUUAUGCAAAAGUUAUACUCCCAAUUUAGAUCGUUUUCUCCACAGCUGGUCUAAAACAGAUUUGAAUCUAUGAAAAAAAUCCGAACUUACUUCCUUUAAGAUAUGUAUAAAAACUAACACGUGGCAGCGGAUUGGAGGCUCCCCAACAAGGCGUCUCCGGGGACCUCCUCACUCAAUGUUUGUCCAAAGCUUCAAAUCAUUUCUACCUUCCCCAACAAAACAAUGGGUGUGAAAUCCAAAACUGAAGUUUUCAUGACUGAAUAGGCACAAUGUACUACUGGAUAGGAGAAAAUGCUCUAGGCUCAAUGUACUGGAUAGAAGAAAAUGCUUUAUAUAAUGAUUGAACCUCUUAAGCUUGUUGAUCCUUUUUAUAUUGAACAUUUGAACUGUGUUAUAAGCCAUGUGUACAUGCUCAGCAUUAAUGCUAAAUUCUCUUAAUGGGCAUUAAUGGGCAAUCAAAGCAGCAAUCUCUUGCAAUUUAAAAGAUGAUGGGAUAUUUAGUUGAAACUAGGUUAUGCACCAGGGGGUGCAAACUAGGUUCUACGCCUUCAGUGUGUCUUAAGUUUCCUUUCUUUUCUCUUUAAUUACAAUGCUCUCUCGUUUAAUGAUUGCAUUUCAUUUGUGCUUCGAUCCUUUGAAAUAUAAAUGUUGAUUGAUUCAAACAAGAACCUUCCUUUCUUUAUAUUCUUUGAUAGACAGAGCUAAAUUCUUGUUACUAAGCACAAGCUAUUGUAAUUCAAGACUCAUGUAGUCUGUAAUCAUUAUGGCACUAAGUCUUCACGGAUCAAUUAAAUCCAUAUGGAAUUGGUGUUUUCAUGCAAGGGCUGUAUAUGAUAUUUACUUUCAAAAUGUCAAAUUGGUGAAUAUCAGCAUUAGCUAGCAAGAUAGGCAGAUCUGUUAAAUUGAAAAAGAAAAAAAAAAAUCAUGUAAAUAGGUUGACAACAUAAUACUGCUUUGAGAAGGCUAAUUUGUCAUAUUAAUAAGAAAUAUGAAGGCAUCUGCAUAAAGUUAGAUUUUUAGUAGAGUUUUGUGUUAAGUUUUACAAGCUCUAUAGUGCUCAUUUUUGCUGGAAUUCCAUAUUUAUUUGUAGGAACGAAAAAAAGUUGCUAGUGGAAGACUUUGGGAUCAAUAUUUUCACGAGUGCAUUGUGGGGUAUUCAAAUUUAUUGACUACUACUUGUUAGACUUCUGUCAAUCUUUUCCUAUAAAACCCUCUAACUUGAGAUUACUGAUUAACUUAAUAAUUAAUUGACUUUGGAUUUUGUGGUAUCUUCUGAAUUGAGUUGAGAAUGCGUGAUUCCGCUCUUAAAAUUUUGUUUGACUGGUCGUCAAAAACAACUUCGACACUUGAGAGGCAUGAAAAAGAAAAAUGGAGUUUUAUGUUGUGAAGAGAUGCUGAAAUUAGCUUCUAGAACUUGGAAACAGAAGCUCUAACUCGAGAUUGCUGCUCCUAACUUGGGUAGUUGAUGAGGGGAUUUCAACUUGGGGCUUAGUUGUCCUGGCUGGAGCUUUGUUGUUUGACUAGAGUUGAUACUUCUUUUAAGUAAAUUGGAUUUUUGGCUUGAAAACAUAAGUGCUGAUCAGAGCUUUGGUUAUUGGGAAUUGGAAAUUCUUUUCUCGCUGAGAUUCAUUUUCUUGCUUACAAUGUGCAUUCUCUUGGUGGCAUUGUAUCUGUAGGCUGUAGGAAAAGUGAGACAUCAUAUUCGCUAAACAAAGUGGCACUCAUUCACAAGGCAUUAAAAAUUUGAGUUAUCUGCUUUAUAUGCAUAUCGAGUGUGUUUCUCUGAUUGACUGUAUCUUUGUUUUCAGUGUUUCCCAAGUUUUACCUUCGUAUAUCGCCUAUAACUUCUAUUUUAACCAAAAAUCAGGCUUUAGUCUCAACUAUUUUUUGGGUUGGCUGAAUGGAGCCUAUUAUUUCUAUUUAGUGUUACUAUUUUUAUUUCUUUUAGUAUUCUUCUUCUACGGGUGUACAUUCAGUCAGUUUGGUUGGUUUUGGGGAUGGAAUCGCACCGAAAGCUGAUUUAUAUACUUUUGAAAAUGAAACAAACUGGAAAAUGUUGGUUCCUUGUGGUUCCGUUCAAACAGAGUCGACAUAUUUCUCAUUUGAUUUGAGGUGUAAAUUUGCACUAAAUAUGAAUCGUAGUUUUUUUUUUAAAAUUUAAUGGCAAUAAUAUCAAGUAUUACAGUUAUGUUGUCGAUAUCCAAAACACCAUUUUUAUUCUGUUCGGAUAUAUAUGGUAUGUAGAUAUGACAUACAUGCAUAUGGAAUAAAAAAUCUGCUAUAUUUAUAUACGGUUUAUUCAAUUUGUAUGUUCCUAACCAAAUGAAAAACUGUAAAUCAUCCUUUCUUUAUCAAGGAAAAAUAAAUCUUAGUAUCAUAUGUUGAAACAAAUAACCAAUUGGGGAUAGUUUGGUAAUUCAAUUUUCAGUCUUAGUUAUAUGUUCUCUACUUUUUGAAAUGCUUGGACUGAUUUCCAGCUGUAUUUUUUGGUUAUUUAGAAUAUUAGAAAGUAGAGUUAAAAAGUCCUGAAGAUUGACUGGUUGGAAGGUAUAUAGAUUUGGUAAAUCUUAGUUUGAAAGGUAAAAGCUUAGAAUUGGGUAGCAAAGGAUACUGUCAUAUUAAAAGGUUAGAAUAAUAUAGUACUAUUUCUCAUUUUCAAAAAAGCCCUAUGGAAUUCCACUACAGGUACAAAAGAGGGUGCUCUUUCUUUUUUUUUUUGUUGUUUUGGGAUGUGGGGAUUGUCAAGCAAACAUGAUGUAUGAAAGAGUUGUAUUGAUGAAAAGUAUAAUUUUUCAUUGCUUGUAGCCUAUGGCCUCCUUCUUGGUUCCUUCUUUUCUUAUUUUUUGAUUCAGCCUCCAAUAUUUACUUCUCUGUACUAUUCUUUUCAUUACACUUCUAGUACUGUUGCAUGACUUUCUAUGUAAAAGAGAACAUAAUUUCGAAGUUCUGCUCUGCAGCUUUUAAUUUCUAUUAUACAACCUCAAAACUGUUGUGUUACAGUAGGUUUUAAUAGAAACCAUCAGCUUAUAUGAAGUUGUUAAUCUUAUGAGGCAAGAUGUGCUGGAUUCUCAUUCUCCUUGUGGUUCUUGUGGUUGCAUAGAUAUAUAUUUUUUUCCGUAUCAAAACCGGUAGAACUAAGAUUUCAUGACAAAAUGUCCAAAAUACUAUAUGAGAUGUAGUUACUAGAUGCUAUAGCAACUAUUUGGUCUGUUCUAUGAAUUUCUUUUAUAAUGUACCAUAACCUCUUAUAUAGUGGUGUUCUUUUGAUUUAUACCCAGUAUCUCAUAUCAUAAUUUUUUAGGGACAAAAAUCCACUUUGAUAAAUGUAUGAAAGAUUAAGAACUUGGAGAAAUAUUUGACAUUUAUUUGUGGAGCAUCUAAAGACUAUCAUAUAUGGUACUGAAUCUGAUAAAGAACUGGAGUGUUGAAGUUUAACUAGAAAUCUCAAGGAUGAUGCUCCUUUAUCAUCUAAGUUUGUGCUAAUAGGUGAUGGUUAGUUAAACUAUCUUCGCCCCCGGCCUCUUUGCUGAUUUAUAAAAUCCUGUAGCAUGUUAAAACGACCUCUAGUGCUUGGGGUUCCGGCUAAUGUGGGGGUCCGUGGACAAACAUGCGUGAAGUGAGACCUCGUGUGUAUUGAAUUAAAAAGGCUGUUACUUAAUAUUUGUAACAUAGCAGAUCCUCACUAGUCUCUAAAGCAAUCUUACUGGUCGAUAUUUUUUCAUGAGGUACUGCUCUCAAGACUUUGGACCAUGACCAUCAAGUUCAAGCUAAUUACUUUCAACAUUGCACUGGCCUUUCCUUUUUAUGUAUAAUGCUCCCCAGGAAUAUUGGCAUCACUAUAUUCUAGCAAUAUAUGAUAUCGAUGCUUUUUAGUGUGUAAGUGUGGUAAAAUUAUGUUAUUACCGUGGUAUGUGAAUCUAUCCUUUCUGCUUACGCUUGGUUGUAGUUUUCUUUUCUUUACAUCUUCCUUUCUGAACAAUCUCAAACGAUAUGACAAGUAGAUAGGAAUGUUGCUUAUGAGAAUAUUAUAGUUUAAACUGUGAAGAUAGAACUGUAAACUAAAUUCUUGUUAAAGCAAGUGAAUCUGGGAAGACUAAUGGUCCGGUUUUCUUAGCUGAUGAAAAGAAAUCAUCUUGUGUUGUGGCUUAUUUUUGUUAUUCUUUAGGCAUAGAUCUUUGUGGCAUUGUUUCUUGUUUCAAGAUACUAUUAUUAACGCAUAUGAUGAUACUCUCCAUAUUGAUUGAACAGGUAAACACUGAGAGAGCUAUACGCCAUGCUAUCCAGGAAAGACUGCCCAUUGUAGUUGUGUUGAAUAAGGUAUUACUUUAAACUUUGCUUGAUUGCUUCUUUUGAUAUUUUGUCGUCUAGCGGAUUCAAGUCUAAUUUUUCUUUUUGCUCUUGUUCUGUUUUAGGUUGAUAGAUUGAUAUCAGAGCUCAAAUUGCCUCCAAAUGACGCUUAUUUCAAGUUGCGACACACAUUGGAGGUAAUCAAUGAUCUGAUCUCCUCUUGCUCCACCACUGUAGGUGGGACCCAGCUGGUGGACCCUGUGGCUGGAAAUGUCUGUUUUGCGAGUGCAACCGCCGGCUGGUCUUUUACUCUCCAGUCAUUUGCAAAGUUAUACGUAAAGCUUCACGGUAUACCAUUUGACUCUUCCAAGUUUGCGUCCCGCCUCUGGGGAGAUCUAUACUUCCAUCCUGAUACUAGAACCUUCCGGAAGAAACCCCCAAAGGAAGGAGCUGAUAGGUCCUUCGUCCAGUUCAUUCUCGAACCUUUGUACAAACUCUACAGCCAAGUGAUUGGAGAACACAAGAAGAGUGUUGAGGCCACUCUCGUUGAAUUGGGUGUGACGCUGAACAACGCAGCUUAUAAGUUGAAUGUGAAGCCCUUACUUAGGUUAGCUUGCAGCUCUGUUUUUGGUUCUGCCACUGGAUUCACUGACAUGUUAGUUCAACACAUACCCUCAGCCAAGAGUGCUGCUCAAAGAAAGAUAGAACAUAUAUAUACUGGUCCUCUAGACUCGCAAAUUGCGGCCUCUAUGAAAAAUUGUGAUCCUUCAGGGCCUUUGAUGGUUAAUAUUACCAAGCUCUAUCCGAAGUCUGAUUGUAGUGUUUUUGAUGCCUUUGGGCGUGUUUAUAGUGGUACUAUACAAACUGGUCAGACUGUUCGUGUUCUUGGUGAAGGCUAUUCUCCUGACGAUGAAGAAGAUAUGACUAGAAAAGAAGUAACUAAGUUGUGGGUUUAUCAGGCACGUUACAGAAUCCCUAUUAGUAAAGCUCCUGCUGGUUCUUGGGUUCUGAUUGAAGGUGUGGAUGCGUCAAUCAUGAAGACUGCAACUUUAUGCCCAGAUAAAGUAGAUGAAGAUGUUUAUAUAUUUAGGCCACUUAGGUUUAAUACAUUGUCAGUUGUAAAAAUUGCAACUGAGCCGUUGAAUCCAAGCGAGCUUCCUAAGAUGGUUGAGGGUCUUCGGAAAAUUAGUAAGAGUUACCCUCUUGCUAUUACCAAGGUGGAAGAAUCGGGAGAGCAUACUAUUCUGGGAACUGGCGAGCUGUAUCUCGAUUGUAUAAUGAAGGAUCUUAGGGAGCUUUACUCUGAAGUUGAAGUUAAGGUAUGCUUAGCGUUUUGUGUGUAUUACCUUUUUAUUUGGUACAGUUUUGCCGUUUGGGCGUUGUUGCCUUACAUCGUGUGAUAUUUUUGUUCUGUUAAUUUAGGUGGCAGAUCCUGUUGUGACUUUCUGUGAGACGGUGGUGGAUACUUCUUCCAUGAAAUGCUUUGCUGAAACGCCCAACAAAAGGAAUAAAAUUACAAUGGUAAGUUGUCUAAGUUCAUCUGCUCAUUUCUUUUUCUAUCUUGCUUAUCUUUCGAGAAUAAAGAUUUAUUAUCACAUCAACUAUCUAUUUUGCUUUUCUCUUCUGUCAUUUUAAUAUAAAAAUAGGUUGCGGAGCCACUGGAAAAAGGAUUGGCUGAAGAUAUUGAGAAUGGUCUUGUGAGCAUCGACUCGAAGCAAAGAGACAUUAGUGACUUUUUCCAGAAGCGUUAUGAUUGGGAUCUCCUUUCAGCAAGGUCAAUAUGGGCUUUUGGACCUGAUAAGCAGGUAAAAAUGGAUCAUAACUCAAACUGAUGGCUUUCUGGUAUCAAAAUUUGUCUCUAUGUUAUCUAAAAACAAAACUAGUUUCCAGCAUAGCCUAGUGGUUUUCAUAACUUCAAUUAGUUAGCUUUCGUUUGUUUAUUUUUGUGCAUUAGUUAAGUUUCAUGCAUAUGAUCUCUGUAGUUAAUAUCGAGCUUUUAUAUGUGACCUUUGUAUAUGCCUUUGUGCAAUUUCCAUUAUUUCCAAUACAGAUUUAAUAAUUUCUCAGAACUUUGAUAACUUGUUGGUUUUCUUUGUCUAACUUGCAGGGCCCAAACAUUCUAUUAGAUGAUACUCUUCCAAGUGAAGUUGACAAACACUUGUUGAAUGCCGUGAAGGAUUCUAUCGUUCAGGGGUAGAGAAUCACUUCCAAUUUCGGUUUCAUCUUUUGAAGUUUCUGGCCACACUUCCUCUGACAUUUGGUUUCCUCUUAUUCCAGAUUUCAGUGGGGCGCACGCGAAGGCCCUCUUUGUGAUGAACCCAUCAGGAAUGUUAAGUUCAAAAUCUUGAAUGCAAAUAUAGCAUCAGAGCCCUUGCAUCGGGGAGGCGGCCAGAUCAUUCCCACUGCUCGACGUGUGGUUUAUUCAGCAUUCUUAAUGGCUAAUCCUCGGCUUAUGGAGCCCGUAUAUUAUGUGGAGGUAACCACUUAUUAUCAUAGGCUUUUGUGCCUAUUCCUAUAUGUUAUUAUCUUUAUUUUUUUCAUUAAUGGUUUAUCGUAUGGAUUUUUGUAGAUCCAAACUCCAAUUGAUUGUGUAUCUGCGAUAUACACGGUUUUGUCCAGACGACGUGGACACGUAACAGCUGAUGUCCCGAAGCCUGGCACGCCGAUAUAUAUUGUUAAGGUAUUGUCAUUUGGACCCAUACUAUUUAUUUACAAAUAAGCUAAAAUGCAGGAAUACCAUUAGGUGAUUACAUAUCACUCUGUUUUAAGGUGAAUUGUGGUUCCCUGCAUUUUAGUUUUACAGAUAACCACUUGGUUGCAAUUCUGUGCUAACUAGUGUUUUACGUUAAAAUAAUAAUAAUAAUAAAUAAACCAGGCUUUCCUGCCGGUGAUUGAAUCGUUUGGGUUUGAGACGGACCUGAGAUACCACACACAGGGGCAAGCUUUUUGCCUUUCGGUAUUCGAUCACUGGGCUAUAGUUCCUGGUGACCCCCUCGACAAGAGUAUUGUUCUCCGGCCUCUAGAACCGGCCCCGAUACAGCACCUCGCUCGUGAGUUCAUGGUGAAAACCAGACGUCGCAAGGUAAUGCUCUCCUAUCUAGGCAAUGAAUCAUUUUAUUUUCUCCAAGAAGUUGGUUUUGGCAUCUAUAGUCUACGAUGUGUACUAUAGUGAUAAGAGCUUUCCCCAAUUUAGCACACGUUUCAAACUCUUUCACAUUGUUUUCUUGCAACCGCUUGUCCUUUUCUUAAAUCUCUUUCACUAUGAUUGAAGCCAAUCUUCCCAUGUCCAUACUCUCAUCGAUGAUAAGUAACAAACUACUAAGAUUAAUUUCAUCGAAUGUAGCUGAUUUCAAAUUUUGAUAGUCUGCUACUAGGUUUAUUUGAUUGUCUUGUUGUCGCAUGCAGUUGCUUGUGCAUAUUUGGGAGGAUAUAAGUGUGUGCUUCUUUAUUCUUUCAGGGCAUGAGCGAGGAUGUUAGUAUCAAUAAGUUCUUCGAUGAGGCUAUGGUCAAUGAGCUCGCACAACAGGCUGCGGACCUACAUCUCCAGAUGAUGUGAUAUAAGAAUUGAUUCAGACCCAGAUCUUGUAGCUUUCAGAAAAUGGCGUACAAAAACCCGUCCCCGCUCCGAAGAACGUCUGUCGCUCAUCCUCUCUUACCCUGUCUAGAUCUUGUAGGGUUUGUGCACUGACCCUUUAACACUGAGGCGCAGCAAUGAGGUUGAUUUGCAUGUUGAUUGUUUGAAUUGCCAAAUAGCGAUGUCGCUUGUGCCUGGAUAUUUUAUCCACCUGUAACUUACUAGGCUUUACUGGUAAAAGAGCCUUUGUUUUGCCCUCCAUUCCUGCUCUCUUUGUAACUUAUGCGAUAUCCGUGUAUCAAAAAGGCUCUUUUACUAAAACUCUUUACUUAGUUACAUACUUUCAUAUCGAGCUAAUUAAUGAAUUAUCGUGAUCUUGAGGAAGAAAAAUCCUUGUAGGAAUUGUUCGUGUAUUUUUCGUUUAUUACCAUUUUUUUCACGCGUGUAAAUUGGUGUAUGCUGUGUAGGAGAUACUGUUGCUGGGGUCGUCAGUUUUUACGAGUGCUGCUCGAGUAAAGCUAUUUGAGAAAACACUGCUAUUCGUGUUACGGAUUUGUAAUACUCUACCUUUACUUGCAUGAGCUUAUGGUUUCUUUGGUUAGCAAAAGUGUCAUGUUAUUGUAGAAACUUUAUUCCAACUAAUUGAAGAAUGAAAAGCCUACUCACCCUAUUUUCUCUUUUUUGUCUUUUUCCCUUCUUUCUGUGUACUUUAGAGUUACUGGUAGACUUGUACUAUGGCAAAAAUUUGAAUUCAUAACGUUUUCUUUUUUGUUUUUUCUGGGUCUGGAAAAUUAUUUCUAUUUUAAAUCAUUUGAUCGGAAUGUCUUUUUUUCUUAAUUCUUUUUCUCCGUAUUAUACUUUGUAAAGAAGCAUUCCAAUUUCAGUAAUUAGAGCCUGUUUGGCUUUGCUUGAGAAAACACUUUAUUAAUUUGGCCACUUGAGCAAGACAUUUUUUUCGAAUAUCUACAAUUUGGAGCUCAGACGCAUUGCAUAAAAUAUGUUUUUGCGCGUAGCAAUUGAGUAAGAAGUGGCCUUAUAAGAACACUCCAGAGCAGCCUGAAACAUUGACUCAAAAGUCGAAAACACGGCCGAAAUUGAUGCUUCAACAAUCUUUCAGUGCUACAGAUUUUGGCAUAAGAUGAGAUAAAAUUAGUCAACUAGAUUUUUACUCUUCUCAUCAGGUUUACUGAUUGCGCGGAAUGUAGCAUUUGAUGGUCUCAAUUGCAGAAAUAUAUAAUGGAUUUCAUCAAUUUGGCCAUGCUUUCAUUUGCAUUUGUUUUUGACACAGUUUCACUUUAAUCCUCCUCUUGAUUUUAAGUAGUUACUGUAACAGCAGAGUGCAAAGAACAAGCCUCUAUCAUUUGUACUUCAUUGCCUCCUCAGAGAGAGAUACAGAACAUGUGGGAAUUGCUGCAGAAUGGAGAAGAUGCAGAUCUGCUUCGGCAGUGCGGCGUCUAACCGAGCACGUCGUCGCCGACAGUGAUCUUGUCGACCCUGAUCUUGGCAAAAUGCCCUGUUAGAAACAACUGAUUUGGAUCAAUUUGUAUGGCAUACCAAUUUCCUCUCCUGCAAUAUUCACUUUUGCGGUAUCUCCGUAGUUCGUGAUUUGUACUUGUAUUCACUGAUUCGGAAAUCGAACAAUUUGCGAUCGGAUUUGCCGCGAGUUGUUUAUUCAAAAACACCCUUUAGUUCCUACUGAGGAUGAAACUACCAUUUGGAGUCUAAUAUAUUGCUCUAUCAACCAAAUCACUUUUCAAUUUAAACAGAAAGAUUUCAAAUCCAAAACCAAAUUCACUCGAAUUCCAGAGUUAGGUCCCGUAGGGUUGAGUGGAUGGUUGGUUGAAUAGUAUGUUCUAACAGAUGAAAACAAUAAAAGGAAUAGAUCUAAUGACCGAAAACUUAUGAGUACAAAGAAGCCUAUACUCAUACAAGUAUAUUAGCCGGACUCUAUAUAUAGAGAGACAGAGAGGGAGAGAGAGGUUUAUUAUACUCUUAUGAAUACAAUCAUCUUUAUACUCAUAAAUCGUUUUUGAUGAUAAAACUUUCGAAUCAAUGAUCCAUACCUCUAAACAUAAUUUAGCGCAUUUAAAACUCCUGAAAAUUAAAUUUUAGAAUUUUUCGAUAUUAUUUAUUUUACGAUUAAAAGAUAUCAAAAUUGAUAACUUUUAACGGCCGGUAAAGAAUAAUUGUUAGUUUAACGAUGUAAAAGAAUCGAAAUCGAUUAAAUUUUUGAUAGAAAAAUUCUAUUUACUAUUUAGUAAAAGAUCAAUAACUCUGAUUUCAAAUUGAGGUAUUCCAUUAUUUAUCUUUAGGAUGUACUUCAAUUUUGACCGUUUAUUUUCUACCGGCUUGAUAAAUCUUAUUAUAAUUUAGAAAAAUUAUGAAUUUAUUUUCUAAAAAUUCUAAAAAUUUUAAAUUAUAUUUAAUAGUGCGAAUCCUCAAAAUUUCAUUUAAAAUAACUUAAAAGCGCAAAAAGCAAUAUACAUGUAAGGGAGUAUAUAGCUAGCAACUUUAUUCCACGAAUAUAUUACACAGAGCAAGCAAUCGAUCAGGAAACAGAACUCAAGAAUCAAGAUCAAGAAACUCUUUUAUCUCUUAAAAAAAAAAAAAAAACAAAGAUGUUAAACUUUAUUAUUCUCCAAAAAAAAAAAAGAUGUUAAACUUUAUUAAUGAUUAAUUACUGGGAAUGCAUAGAAAAAGUAGCAAGAAUGAACUAGUGAAGCGGCUCUAGGCCGUAGAGCACGCCGGCGGCGAAGGCCCCGAGGAUGUCGUAGCGGCCGGCAAAGUACACGCGGGUGAGUUCGGCGAAGACUCGGGCGGCUAGGAGGGCGUCGGAGCCGGCCUGGUGGGCCCGCUCUACAUCCCGCGGCACGCUUAGGAGCUUCGCGGCAUUCUCCAGCCCGCCGACCAUCCUCUGGCAGUGCCGCAUGAGGUGCUUGACGUCGAACACGAGCGGCCCGAAGUAGUAUCGGACGAGGGCGAGGAAGUCGUCCAUCCGCGGCGGGAGCCGGCGGCCGCCGAGCAGCGCCUUGACGACGUACCCGAAGUCGUAGGCGCCGUGGAAGGUCACCCAGAUCAUGCCGGCCGCCGGGCCCAGCAGGCCCGACGAGGCCAGCAGCUCGGCGAAGCGGCGCAAGUCGAGGCCGUAGCAGCGGAGGGCACCGAAGUCGAUGCCCUCCGAGAGAAGCGCAGGCCGACGGAGUCGGGGUUGUGGGGGUAGCCGCCAAGGAGGUCGAAGUCGCAGAAGUUGAACUGCCAGACGAAGCGGAAGGCGCCGCAGGUGCCGAGGUCGGGCAGGCGGCCGGCGGCGUCGGAGAGGGCGAGGCCGAGCUGCACGAUGUGGAGGGCGUCGACGUUCAGCUUCAGGAGCUCGUAGCGCUGCGUCGGGGAGAGGCCGCGGGGGUCGACGUCGGGGGUGGGGAUGUAGAUAGUGCCUGGGUAUUCGGUGUCGAAGGCGGCGAAGCAGAAGCGGCCGCAGCAGACGACGGAGCGGAUCAGCGAGAACUCGUAGUCGGCGUUCUCCGCCCACACCUGCCGCACCUCCACCACCCCAGUCGCCAUGGCAAAUUUGAUGUACGUACGUGAAGAUGCUCUCCUCUUUCUCUUCUUUCUCUUCUUUCUAUUUGCAUGGGGGUGACCAAAAGAUGUAUUUAUAGGAUUACGUCCACCGUGGAAUCCUACUUGUAAUGGGUUUCGAGUUUCGCUUCGGAAUUUUUUGGUUAAAAUUACUUAAUUAAAAAUAUUAAAUUUGGAGGGCUAGCUAUUACGGAACAGCCUAUAUAUAGUUGAGAUCACUGGACAUUUUUUCCCUAAUGUUAAAUUUCUUUUGUGUAUUUUCUCCUCUGAAAUUUAAAGUAAAAUUUAUAUAUUCCAACAAACUAAACAAUUUUAUUUUCGAUAAAUUUCUAGAGCAGUGAAAAGCUUUGUCAAGCAUAUUUAGAAAUUUUUAAUGUUUAGACAAAUGUGUAUGAUAUUAUAAAUUUUAGAGGGAUAAAUAUGUAGUAUUCAAAGUUUCUAGGGUUGCUUUUCAAUUGUCCUAUGAGUGCCUUGUGAGUAGAAAUUAAGGAUGUCAAUAGAUAUGGAUACUCGAAAUUUUAUCCGAACUCAAACCCGAAUGAAAUGGAUAUAUCCGAUGGAUAUGGAUAUAAAACAUAGAAUCCUUACGGAUAUGGAUUCGGAUAUGGAUUUUGAUUGUACCCGAUCCGAACCCGAACCCGACCCGAAUCCGAAUUUAUUUUGUAUUAUAUAUAAUAUGUAUAUAAAAAUUUGAUGUUAUAUUUGAAUUUGUAUUUUAAAAAUUUAGAUUUAAUAUAAUAUAAUUUGAAAUAUUGAAAAAAGAAAUAAUUAUUUCGGGUUCAAAUUUUCGGGUUCGGGUUCGGGUUUGAAUAUGGAUUUUUAAAAUCCGUCGGAUUCGGGUUCAGGUUUUUAAAAAUCCGCCCCGAAUCCGACCCGUUGACAUCUCUAGUAGAAAUACCGUACGGAGACUCCCUCCACAAUAGUAUUAUGUAUUUUCUAGGGAUUAUUGUCUAUGUCCCUUAUUGUAAGGAUUGAGAAUUUGACAGUAUAAUUAAACUCUCUGUUGAUGAUAUUUUCGUGCGAAAUUUAAUUAUAUAAGCACUCGUCAAGUUUCAGAAAAAAACGAAUUAGGAUGAAGAAGUUAUGCGAUCUUUACUAAUCACUUAGAAGGAUCUAUAACCCCUGCGAUAAGGGGUUGCAGAGAUUACAAUCCCUUUGGCUUAUAGAGUUAAGCAUUUCUCUUUUUUUUUUUUGUUUAUUUGCCCUCUAAAUUUUAAAGUAGAAUUUAUUUUCCUACAAACUAAACAAUUUUAACUUAAAUAAAUUUUUAGAGCAGUAAAUAGCUAUUCUAUUUUACUAAAAUUUUCUUUUCUUUAAAACAAAUUGACAAAUAUACCAAUUAGGAUAGUUACAUUGAGCUCUAUCUAUUUUAUCUUUUUAUUAAAAUGAAAAUAAUGAAGAGAAUAUAUGCACAAGAGUCUUUGAAAGUCAUAUGUGACAGGCAUGACUGGUCAAGCAUAUUUAUAAAUUUUUAUAGUUUAGAUAAAUAUGUAUAAUAUUAUAAAUUUUAGAGGGAUAAAUAUGAAGACAAGGAUAAAGAAUAAGAUGUUGGUUAUCUAAAAAUUUACGAUAAAUUUUACUCCUGUUCUGCAACCUGUGGAUAUAAUAACUCACCCACAAUUUUUUCCAACUUGCAUGUUUGCUAAGUCUAGCUAGAAAAGCCAUUAAGAUCAUGCUUGCAUAGCUGAUCCCACUUUGUGGUCCAAGCUGACCACAAGUACUGUCACAAAAUUAAGAGCAUAAAUAUUAGAAAAAAGGAUUCAUAGCUGGUCCAAUUUUAUUGCACCCACUAAAUCUUUUUUUUUUUUUUUCUUUAUUGCUUUGCAACUGCAGAGGGCUAAAAAAAGAGUUGUUUUAUAUAAAAAAAUUCUAACCUCUUUAUAAGGACUGAGAUUUUAACAGUGUAGCUAAACUCUCUGUUAACGAUAUUUUUGUGUGUAAUUUAAUUACAAAAGAACUCGUCAAGUUUCGAAAGAAAACGAGUUAGAAUAGAUAUUUUACGCGAUCUUUAGUUUUCACUUAAAGUGAAUAGUAAUCCGGAUUUUCUGAGAGGCUAAGAUGUAGAGAUGGCUUCUGGCGCGUAUCGGACUCCGUUCAUAGUGAUCCAAUUGCUCAUUUUCAAUGGUCUGACUAUUCUGGAACCAUUGGCGCUGACGGAUUUUAGGUUUGAAGCACGAAUUUCGAGAAAACUGGAGAUACAUAUAUUAUAUGUAUUUGUGUGCGGAUUUUGCCAUUUGGAGAGGGGAUGGGUUUCGUCGCGAAUCUGCGACCAAACCAGGCAAAAAAAAAUCAUAGAUUUGUUGUCUCUGUCGUGCUAAUCGCACUGGUGCGAUCCGUUCGCAAAUCUGACGGAUGGAUCUCCUGAUAUUGCGCAUUGAUCGAGGAGGGGUCUUUGAUGGCAAAACGGUAAUUUAGCGAUAAGCCAUACAUUUUAUGUACCGUUUUGCGUGAAUUUGAAUGUGGAGGUGUAUUCGCGCGUUUCACUCGCGCUGUGAGGGACUUGGUUUAAAAUACCGGGUUUUGAGGGACUUUUGCGCAAACUAGAGUUUGGUAUAUAUAGCAUUCUAGGGUUUUCAUCCUUGAAACUCUAACCCUAACCCUAGCCCUUGCCACCUUGAGUUGUGCCCCCAGCCACCUUCACCUCUCUCCUCUGCCCUCGCCGUGCACAACCCGGCCGCCAGCGCGCGCAUCUGGCCGCCGGAGUAAGCGGCAUUGCCUCCCUCUCCCUCAACUCCUCCACAACCUUUGCCCGUGGACCACCCAAGGUGAUCCUCACCUCGGGCCCCCCCUCUAGCAGCGGCCCCGACCUCUGGCGAUUCCCCCGCUGGUCCCCCGCUGUCCCUGUGCUCCGCCGUCGCCGUCGCCGCCUGGGCACCCCGCGGCCAGCCUGGGUCAGCUCCGGUCGAGCUCAAGUUAGCUCGUGGCACGCGAGUUGCCGCGGCCCUAGAUUGGCCACGCCGCCUUCCCUUGGUCUCCGGCGACCCACACGCACCGUCCCCGCCUUUUCUGUUCGCCGCCGCCGCAGCCGCCCUAGCUCCCUGCGGCUGCCCCGCGCUAGUUCGGGCCGAAGUAGAGCUAUUCUCCAACUAGUGCGCCGUCGCCGCCUGGGAUCGGUAGCGCCGUUUCCCUCCAGUCUCUGGCAGUCCUCCACCGUCGCCCCUGAGCUCCUCGCCGGCCGCCGUGGCCGCCAUUGCUCUUGAACCCGAACCCUAGCCCGUGAGGGCUCGGGUUGCUCCAGCGCCGCCACCACUGCCUCCUGCCGCCGGCCGGAGCCACCGCCGGCCGUGCCCUAGCUCCUACUGCUCCGGUAAGCAUAGUCUAGGGCUUUUGACUAUUGUUCUAGGUUGCGCACCCUUUUCCAGCGACCCAAGGCUGUCCCGAUGCCUCUGGAGGUGAGCACGGUGAUCCCUGGUCAGUGCUGAUCAAAGUGCUCACCUCACUUAGGAUUAGCGAUUGCCAAAACUAUAUUUUCGGCGCAGUUUUUCCCUAGUGCGCACUGUUCGCUGAAUGUUCGGGUCACUCCCGCGCCUUCCACAGUGAGCCGUUGUACUCCGGAUCAUGAGCAUGGCCUCCGACAUGUCAAGACCUGUCAGUACAUGUCUUGGCGAACCUUGGAAGUCUUCGGUUUGCGUUAACGAGCCAUAAACUCACCUUAUUUGUGGUAUUUUAUGUAAAUAUAGUGAUUUUUAUGCAAUUGUGCAUCUUAUGGCUACUAUGGGCAUUACGUAUGUGCAUGUGGUGUCCUCUGGACUGAUUGUCCAAGGUCCGAUAGCUUUCGCGGAAAUCGAAUAGCAAUUUCAGUAUGUUUUUCUGCAAAAUUCACUGGCGGAACGCAGUUUCGGUUUGGAUUUCAUUCGACUGUGUUUGUUUGCCCUGAGAGUUGUCGCCGAGCCUUGUCGGCUGGUCACCAUCGUCAUAUCGUGGGUUCGGAGAUGACGGGUGAGCGACGGAGGGUUCCGGUGUCGAAAUUGACACUUUCGAGAAACUCGGAUCCGAACAAUUAUCCAACGAUAAUUGUUUGUUUGUGUUACCUUGUGUUUGCUGCCAAGACAUCCAAAUCAAUAUGUUUUGUGGCAGCGGGUGACUCGUGGCACGAGUCGGUGAGUUUCAGGACACUUAGUGGGUCCCGAUGGCGUCCCGGUGUGAUUUUCGGGACUUCCGGUGAGUUACGAUGAUCAGUUUUAGGAAACCGAUUUCGGGGAUUUGUGUGGAGUUUGUGAGUUGGGUAUUUUGGACUAGUGGGUUGGAUACUAACUCGGUGGAUCUUCGUAGGUCCGGUUGACUUAUUGCACACCCAAGUUUCCGACGCGAUAGGGACAGGCGUGUGCUUCGAGCUCCUAGUCGGUGAGAUCGUUUCGCUUUCCUCUCUCUUGCUCUUGUAUAUCAGUACUUUGGUCUCUACAUGUCAAUUGCUUUUGUUUAUCGCUUGUUCAUCUAUACUUGUUGCUUGUAUGAUGAUAGUUGUUAGCAGACAUGUAGAGCAGGCUUGCAUUUAUUGUAUAUUUGUGGACCUUGGGUUCAGGUAACACAUCGACUCCUUUGUCGUGUGUUUCGAUCUAGUUGAUCAUGGUUCGGCGUUGUACGCCCUUUCAUCUUGCUUCGGCCAAGGCAUCCGUUUUUCACCGGUUUUCGUAUUGAGCAUAUCAGCAUAAUUUAGUAACAGCACUGUAGAUUGGGUUUGAUUUUGGAUUAUAUAACCUUGAGGCAUCUGUUCAGUUGAGUUUCUAUUACAGUAAUAGUUUGGUUCUUACUCAUUUAUUAUCCCGUCUCUAUUACUACUGUACUUGCUUUUAUAUCAUACCAUAUACAUAUACGUUGUUCUAUCUUCUUUGUUUUCCAGUGAAUACGAUUUGCCUUUGUGGUUCUGUCGUACUCACUGAAAAACCUUGAUUGUGUUUUCUCACCUCCCAUUUCUUCAGGUUGUUCGGGUAAGGAGUUAGCUUUUGGACCGACGGGAGGACGUAUUAGUUAGACUGUAGUAGCGAUCGUCACCCUCGUUAUGUUUUAUUUUCGCUUCUAGUAGUUUUAAUAAUUAAAUGGUUCAAUUAGAUGAUCAAUAUGAAUGUUUGAAUGUUCGUGAACUGGUUUGAGUUGAUGUUUUUCUAUUAUACAUACGAUGGGAGAUUUAUGAAUGUAUGGUUUUGGAUUUACGUAUUUAUGUAUCGUGGUUUUCUACCCCUCGAGAUAGUUGGUUUUCAAAAUGGAGUUUUCGAGUGGGAAAUAGUUUUAAAAGGUUUUCAAAUAUUUUUAUGGAGGAUUCUAUAGAGUUUAAAAAUAAAGCUUCCGGAUGAGGAGCACUUUUAAAUAGGAUGACUGUUGUACUGUGCAUCGCAUCAUCCAGCGCCUAAGGAGUGCUUAGAGACAUGCAUUAUCUCUAAGGAUCGCUAGCUGUAUGAAAAUGUAUCGCACGAAUUGUUUGUCUAUUGGUGAAUGUAAGUUGUUGUUGUGAUCCUGAUAUUGUUGUUGGUACGCCGUGCAAAUACAAAGGAGACUCUGUCCGUGUGGCCAGAAAAACUUUGUAUUUGUGGCGAGUCUGUACGUCACGUGGGCUAGGCUGAAUUAAAAAAUAUAUAUAUGCCACAUUUUUCGCAACUCUGAUUUCAAAAAUUGUAUUGAUUAUAAAAAGGUUUUAAAAUCGGUCCAGGGCAUGACACUUGUCACGCCUCGCCCCGAAACCACUACCAAUUUGGCACGAUUCGGCCGCGGUGGCGGACCGCCGAACGGACAGCACCUCUCCUGUCCGCCCAAGGCUCCGCAACAAGAAUGUGUACAAGAAUUUACCCAGAAAAUUAAAUUCUAAACAUACACAUUCACAAGGGCACAAACAGUGCCAGCAAUACGAAGAGCAAGUAAUCCACAAGAUAUAGCAUGUGAAAUAAAGAGAGUGCUUUACUAACUAUUACAAUAGUUUCAUCAUUUUCAUUUACAUUACUUCUUUAAAUGAUUACAUUUUUCAUCUCAAAAUACAUAGCUCUCCAACACCUCACCUACAAUGCAUCUCUCAAAUACAUAGGUGUACUAAUGCAAAAAGGAAAGCUACUAUACUACCACGGUCUCACUGAUCGGGCGCGAUGCCCUUGCCGCGGUCCUUUCUCGGCAACCCUGUACCUACCACUGGAAAUAGAGUGGGGUGAGAACUAUCUUCCAUAGUUCCCAGUGGGCUCGGCUGCCGACUCUGCCGAUCUCCCCACUAGGUUCAAGUGGGCACAAGUAACAACAGAUAGAUAGAUAGAUAGAUAUGUAUCUGAAAGCAGUAAAUGCGAUAGUAGGAAAACUAUGCUACUAUGCCCAUAAUCAUGAAUAUGAAUGCAUGCAUCAUGUAAUAAAGGUUGCUACCAUGCUAACAAACUCGAUCCAUGUUCGAAUAGUAAUGUUCAAUGACAUUUUUAAACCUUUAACUUUUCAUUUACCCAAUCUGUGGCGAGGCCCUAGGGCUCGCCUAUGACUCACCUUUCAAUCCGAAAGUGGGAAGGGAGCUCCAAGUGCACCCAAGUCCGGGACCGUCUGCGGACCUCCAAGUGGUCCAGACCUCCAUGUGGUCCUAGUCGCACGACACUCCGGAGUACUCGACGACAAUCCCCUCCAUGUGGGGAUAGGAUGGCUAUACCACCCCAAACGCAGACUGUGAGCUAGAUCUAUCAUUUCCAAGUGAAGACACCCUACAACUAGGGUCACAACCCAAUCAAAUCCUCUCCAAGUGAGGAAGCAUUAUAACUAGGGUCCACAACCCAAUCAAAUCCUCUCCAAGUGAGGAUGCUCUACAACUAGAGUCAACAUCUCUCGCGGGGUCAUUUGUUCCCGACAUUCAUGCAGUGCUAUUUAGCUUUUCUAAAUUCAUUGUUCACAAGGCAUUUUCUAAGGGAUCCACCUAUCCCUAGGUUCUCAAACCUCUAGUGUCAUGUACACUAUAUUAAUGCCACUCAUCAUCAUUUAACUUUUGGAUGCCACUCGUGUAUUCUUUUACACUAAACACUACUUCCUAUGUCAUCAAUACCCCCAUCGGGUUCAUCUCUCAUCUUUCGUAUCUAGGAUCCACGUUCCGACCCAAUCCUCACCUAUCUAAGUUACCAAGCGUUCCAAGUACACUAGGUUAUCAAUUAGAAAGCAUAAGGAAUGGAGCUACUAUGCAAUCCUACCAUGCAACAUGAAGAGAUGAGAUUAAAUGCAAUCUAAGACAUAGAAAGGAGUUCAAAAGCUUCGGGAUGGCACCCCCCCACCUUUUAUCGAUGUAGAGGCUUUAGAUAUGCUCCUCGGCGUACUUUACGAAAAGGCUUUAGCCUUCCUUGCCUAAGACGAUGCUAAAAUGACCGUAUUUUGCCGAUAGCUCCAAGCUCGCUCGACGAAUCGUGAAAUCGAUUCGCCCUCGCGUUUGGGCACCUAUCGAUUAGGUUUACAAGGCCUCAAAUGAGAUCAAUCUCAUACUUCACAAAAUGCCCUCAUUUGGAGCCCUAGGUUGCACAUGUAGCAAACCUCUAAUAAAACCCUAGAUUCAUGGGAUUGAUCUACUUAGAAGCAUGCUUGGGGUCCAUUUGACCCAUUCCAAAGCAUAAAAACCCAAAAACCCUAAGUACACAAAGCUAGGGUUUGUAGCUUACCUCUUGAGCUACACCAAUGGAAAGAGGAGAGGGAGAUGGAGGUGCUCAAAGCCUUCCUCUUGAUCUCCUUCUUCUUCUCCUCCUUGCUUUUCUCCUUCUUUUUCUUCCUCUCCUUCUUUUCUUCUUCUCAUCCUUUCCUUCCUAGAGAGAGAGAGGGAGAAAAGUGAUUUCCGGCUCGUUUCUCGGCGAAAUUCGCCGACGAAACGUGGGUUCGGUUAGGAAUUCUUCCGACGGUGCUUCGUGAUGAUUUGUUGUGUCGCUGAGCCUUGUUGGCUGGUCGCUCACGUCAUUUCGAGGGUUUGGAAAUGACGGGUGAGCGACGGUGGGUUCCGGUGUCAAAAUUGACACUUCCGGAAACCCGGAACGGAAUGAUUAUCCGACGAUAAUAAUUUCGACCUGAGGAGUUGUGUUGGCUGCCAUAAUGCAUGAAUAUUUAGGUUUUGUGGCAGCGGGUGACUCGUAGCACGGGUCGGUGCGUUCCGGGAUAGUUCAUGGGUCCCGGCGGAGUCCCGGUGUGAUUUUCGAGACUUCCAGCGAGUUACAGUAAUCGGUUUUCGGAAACCAAUUUUCGUGGGAGUAGUUGUUGGGUUGUGGCUUUUGUGUUUGCUAUGUGUGGGAUAGACUCUAACCCGGUGGACCCUUCUUAGGUCUGAGUGACUUUCUUCCUCAGUCAGGAGACAGGUGCAGCAUUCUUACAGGUGGGUACUUCGAUCCGACGUCAGUACAGUGGUGCACGCUCGGUGAUACCCUCCUACCCUUACUCUUCUGUCGUUACUAUUUUAUAGUAUAUAUUGAGCCUUGCACCCAUAUUGUUUAUAUCUUACUCUACUCGGUUGUUUUUCAUAUCUAGUAUCAUGAGUAGGAGUAGAGCAGAAUUAUGAUUGCUUAUGAAAUUAGUGACUUAGUCGGUCGAUUCUAGUAUCCCGUAUUUGUGACCUAUUCGAUCAGUUUCUUGAUUUCUGUUGUCUGAUGACCGUUGAGAUCGAUAUACCCUAUGGGGUAGGAUUGUCGGCUAGUUGCCGACGGAUGAUGUAAGGAAGUGAAUUCUCGAAAUCCGAGAGUUGUACUUUGUCCAGAAUCGACUACUUGUCGUAUAGGAUGGCUUCGAGAAAGCUAAAGAUGACCAAAACACAAAAAGUGCUUUGGAGUCGAGUCCGCGAGAGCAAAUAAUGCAAAAAUCUGCACUUGGCAGAGUUGCUCUCGGGGACUGGUCCGUGGCAGGGAAGGACCGGUCCCCGUAGCUGGUGAUUGCGGGGGAUGCUUGAUGCAACUGGUCCAACCGGUCCCCGUAUGUGAAACCAAUGAGACAGAGAAAAAUUUGGCUAAGUCCUGAAAACUCAGCUCUGGGGAACUGGUCUCUCAGGCAAGGAUCGGUCUCCCACGGUCCGGUCUCUCAGGCAGGGACCGGUUUUCGUAUGCGUGAAAAUUGGGAAGGUCCUAGGGGACCGGUCCUCCCGACGAGGGACCGGUCCCUCCGCGCGAAAACUGCCCAGGCAGAGCAGUUUGAGAGAAACAAAGUGGAGAGGUUUUAAUGCAAUUGUAGCAUUAGUUAGAGAGUAUAGAGAGCAAAGAGCUCUCUCAAUCUCUCUCAUUUCCCUCACUCUCUCACAUUCUCUCCCUCUCUCCCUCUAGAAAGAAAACAAGAAGAAAGAAAGAAGAUGGAGAAGAAGGAGGAGAAGAAGAAGAAAAGGAGGAGAUCAAGCUUGAGAAGGCUUGGAGCAUCUUUCUCUUCCUCCCCUCACCAUUGGAGCUAACUUAGAGGUAAGCUCUUGAACCCUAGCAUGUAGAACUUAGGGUUUUUGGCUUUUUGGCUUUUAGGAUGAGGUAAAAUGGACCUCUAGCACCAUUAAUGGUGGAUUAAAGCUAGAAUCUAGAGUUGGAUGGAGUAGUUUGCAUUGGGCAAACCUAGAGCUCCAAAAUUGGGGUAUUUGUAAAAGGAAGGUUUUGAUCUAAAUUGAUCAUGUAUUAACCUAAUUGCUAGGUGUCUAAAUGCGUGGGAAGCGACGGAUUGAGCAUUCGUCGAGCGGGUGCGAAGAUAUAGCCGAAACAAGCAUUCGGGGCUUCGUGUUGACCCGAAGAGCAUAAGUGGCGAUCAAGGAUCGCGAAAUCGAGUGCCUAGCAUCGCGACAUUAACCAAGAGGUGGGGGGUGUCCAUCCCAAAGCAACUGGGCUUCUUCCUAUGUCUAAGUAUCUUUAUGUGAUUACAUUCCAUAUAUAUAGCAUCAUGCAUGGUAGGGUGUUUAGAUGUUACUUUACUACUCUUGUAUAUUCCUUGGUAAUGCGGCAUAGUAGGCUUGGCAAGUGAACUUGGGAAUGCAUGAGAAUGAACUCUGUGACAUAGAACCCUAUAGAGAUAAAUUAGACUAUAACUUGAUCUUGCAUGGAUGAUUAUAAUGAUAUAUGACUAGUAUAGUCGGGAUAAUUGCAUUAUGCUAAGUGGCAUGUAUACCAAAUAAAUAACUUGACGAGUGGCAUAUGUAUAUCAAGUAAACAACUUGACGAGUGGCAUUAGAAUUUAGUGUUAGAGAACACUUGUGGCAUGGUAGUCCUAGUGACUAGAUCUCCUCAUUUGACGAGGAAUGGAUUGGAUUAUACUCACACGUCUGUUGAGCGCUUGUGGCGGUCGCUCCGCAUAAGUAGUGCGCUCCGGAGUUUGGCACGUGAAUCGAUUGGGAUAGCCUAGGUGGGUUCCCAAGAGAUAGCCUAUGUAGGGUCCCGCAGAUAGUCCCUCGGGUGGUUCGAGUCCCCCUUCAUAGACGGAUUUGAGAUGUGAGUUGAAGACGCGCUUAUGGGACAGCCAGAUGAUUGGGUAAUAAACUCAAGAGAAUUAUGCAAACUGGGCAUAUUAGGCAUAUUGUGCAUAUUGAGCAUUGUAGAGUUGUAUCCAUACUCGAUGUUGGUAUUAUAGCAUGUUAGCGAAUGCAUGGCUAUGUUGCUCAUUCUUGAAUCUCAAGGCAUAUUAGAGUAAUGCAAUUAUUUCAAUAUGCAUUAUUUACAGUUUUGGGAUAUCUAUCUAUCUAUCUAUCUGCUUAUACCUGCUUAGACCUAGUGGGGAGAUCGGCGGAGUCGGCGGCCGAACCAACUGGGAACUAUAUUUAUAUAGUUCUCACCCCACUUUGUUGCAGGGCCUAGCGAGAGAGCACCGGCAGAAGACCGUGGUAAGGGCAUAGCGCCCUAGACAGAUAGCAGCUUCCUAUGCAUUAGAGUACCCUCGAGUACCUAAAGUUAUGAUCUAUUUAUACUGUGGGAGUUGCUUAUGUAUUUUGGAGGAUUAUUGUAUAUAUCCGUUUUUGCAAGUUACAAAAUGUAAACUUAAUGUAAAAGAAUUGUUGCAUGGAUGUAAUAGCUAGAUGUUUCUCUCUUUAUUUCACUUGUCAUACUUAUGAAUUCUUGCUCUUACUUGCUGGCACUAGUAGUGCUUUUCGUUAUCAUGUAUGUAUUGAAUUUAAAUUCCUAGGCAUAUUCUUGUAUAUGAUCUGGUUGUUAGCCUUGGGCGGACAGGGGAGGUGUUGUCCGUUCGAUGUCUGUUCGAUGCGCCCGAACCGGACCAAAUUGGUAGCGGGCUCGGGGCGUGACAGGUAUUUAUGGUACCAGAGUAAGUUAAGAGCAAGUAAAGAGAGAAGUUUAGGAUGGACCUAGGAGGCCCUAGGUUGGUAAACCUUAAGGCUUUGGGUGCAUGAGUGAUGUGAACCUAUGCCGAGUGGCAGAAGAUAAUUCGAUUGGGUCGAAGUUGAAAGCGAUAUGUCUCUAGUUGUGAAUAGAGACGGAUUCAAGUGGUAUUAGUUCUUGGCUUGAAGUGAUUGUGUCGGCGUCCGAUGACAUGACGCUGAGAGUCUAGAAUGAGUACACUUGUGUACUUCCGCCUGAUUUUAAUGUUGAGUCGCGCAAUUUCGGUAACCGCGAAUGGGUGGAUGGGUUAAGCUAAUUGACCAGGUUGCUGCGUUACAGGAACUAAUGUCUCCAAGGCGCUACAUGCGUAGGACGGUUCCGGCACUGCCUUCUGAGGUGACAGAGCAAGCUAGACCUCCUUUGGUGCUAGAGUCGUCUGGUCCUAGCGAGGUGCAGGAGUUACGGGCGCAGAUGACCGCGUUAACUGGUCGGUUUGAUCGGCUCCAGGAGUUGAUAGAGCGACAGAAUGCAGCGACGGCUGCGACGGCGACGGAAGGUCGUAAUCCGCCUGCACCCUCGGCGCACGUGCCUGAGGUGGCAGAGGGUGAGGGCGUGGCAGCAGUCCCGGUGGCGGCAUGUCCCCCGCCGGCAAGUGUGCUUCCGGUGGUUUCGGGUACGGCAACACCCGAUGUGGCAGCUGAGGAAGUGGAGCGGGAGCGCACGUUGACGGCUCUUAUAAGGUUCAAGAAGUUCAACCCACCAAUCUUUGAAGGGGAAAAGGUGGAGCCAUCGAUGGUUGAGUCAUGGAUCGACUUAAUGGAAACCCUUUUCGAGGAUCUCUAUACCUCGGAAAAGGACAAGGUGAACCUCGCCACCCAUUGUCUCGAAAAGACGGCGAAGGUGUGGUGGAAACGGGUAAAGCGAGAUUGGCCUGAUCUUCCACCUAUGUUGUGGGACAGUUCAAGAGGGCAAUGUUCGCCAAUUAUUUUUCGGAUACGGUGAAGCGAAAGUUGCAAAAGAAGUUCCUCACACUGAAGUAGGGAGAUCGCUCGGUAGCGGACUAUGAGCAAGAGUUUUCUCAUAUUAUUGACUGUGUCCCGGAGGUUGUCGAGGAUGAUCGGGACCAGGCGGAUUGGUUCCUACGUCGAAAAUGGCCUGGGAUCUACAGGGCCGUGCAAUUAUUCAAGCUCACGAUCUUUGCUGAGGUCUUCGAUCGAGCAUUGUGAGCAGAACAUGGGGAUGCCUAUGUGCGAGAAGAACAUGAGCUGAUGGUUGGGUCUAAGGACAAGGGGAAGAAGCGUCAAGGCGGUAGUUCGGGGGGACAAUCGAGUUCUAUGAAGCCCCCGAAGCAUCCGCGCACACAGUCGUGGAGUCGAGGGACGCAACAGUGCGCUAUCUGCGGUGGCGGGGGCCACAGAGCACCGCAGUGUAGGGAGCGUCAAGGCAAGUGCUACAACUGUGGGCAAGAAGGGAACUUGAGCCGUGACUGUCAAGCGAGGGCCCUGCGUACCCCGUCAAUUGCGUCGACUCCGGCGACACAGGCGCAUUAUGGAGGAGCCCCACCUACUACCAUAUCGGCUGGAUGCGCUAUGGUGCCGCGUCAACCCGAGGUGAUUCAAUCAGUGCCAAGCGGACGGGUAUUCGUCGCUCAGGUUCAAGCAGAGGCGCCUGCGGAGGCGGAGGAGCAUCGCCUUGUGGCAGGUAUGGUUUUAAUUAACGAAAUUCCCUCUAGGGCUAUGUUUGAUACUAGUGCCAGGCAUUCAUUCAUCAGUAGAUCAUUCGCACGCAUGCAUGACAUACUCAUAGAGGCGAGUGAUGGUAAGUGGCGAGUUGAGGGCCCUGGAUUGACAUUUAAUACCUACACAGAAUGCUUAUCGUGUCUAGUACAAGUAGGUGACUGGAUAAUGCCUAUCCGGAUGUUAGAACUCAAGAAUCUUAAAGAAUUCGACGUCAUAUUGGGCAUAGACCAGCUCUCGAAGUAUCAUGCAACGAUCGACUGCAAGAGCAGAGUGAUUGCAUUUCGUGAGCCAGGACAGAAGGAGUACACUUAUCGAGCUUGUCAGAGCUCGUGCUUCGCCGCGACGGUGUCGGCGACGAGAGCAAAAAAGUUGGUCAACAGCGGUUGCGCUGCAUAUUUGGCGAUCGUUGUAGAAGUGGAUCGAGUAGCUCCGGCACUCAAGGAAUUGUCGGUGGUACGGGAGUUUCCGGACGUGUUUCCUGCGGAAUUAUCGGGGGUACCGCCUAAUCAGGAGAUCGAGUUCGUCAUAAACUUGAUCCCCGGCACCGCACCGAUUUUGAAGGCUCCGUACCGAAUGGCGCCGGCGGAACUGAAGGAGUUGAGGGGUCAGUUGCAAGACCUUCUCGACAAACAGUUUAUUUGGCCAAGCGUAUUACCGUGGGGAGCCCCGGUGUUAUUUGUACGGAAGAAGGACGGAUCGUUUAGACUCUGCAUAGAUUAUCGCGAGUUGAACAGAGUCACGAUCAAGAACAAGUACCCACUUUCCCGAAUCGAUGACUUGUUUGAUCAGUUGCAGGGGUUGUGUGUGUACUCGAAGAUAGACUUACAGUCCGGCUAUCAUCAGUUGAAGAUCAAGCCGGAGGAUGUGCAGAAAACUGCGUUUCGCACGCGGUAUGGACACUACGAAUUCACGGUCAUGCCAUUUGGGCUCAUGAAUGCUCCGGCAGUGUUCAUGGAUUUGAUGAACCGUGUCUUCGGAGGGUAUUUGGACUGAUUUGUCGUGGUCUUCAUAGACGACAUAUUGGUCUAUUCUCGCAGCGACGAGGAACAUGCCGAGCAUUUAAGGUUAGUGCUUCAAGUCUUUCGGGAGGAGAAGCUAUAUGCUAAGCUAAAGAAGUGUGACUUUUGGCUCCGAGAAGUCGCAUUUCUAGGGCAUGUAAUUUUCAAGGGUGGAGUUUCUGUGGACCCGAGGAAAGUUGAGGCAAUCAAGGAUUGGCCGCGCCCAACGAACGUCACGGAGGUCAGAAGCUUCAUGGAUUUGGCGGGCUAUUAUAGACGGUUCGUGUAAGGCUUUUGAAAGAUAGUAAUUCCACUUACCCAUCUGACUCAGAAAGGCACCAAAUUUGUCUAGAGUGACGAGUGCGACCGAAGUUUUAAAGAGUUGAAGGAAAGAUUGACUUCAACUCCGGUGCUCGCUCUACCGUUGCAAGGCGAAGACUUUGUGGUCUAUAGCGAUGCAUCUUAUAUGGGUUUGGGGUGUGUAUUGAUGCAAAACGAGAAGAUAAUCGCCUACGCGUCCCGUCAGCUGAAGAGCUAUGAGAAGAACUACCCCAUCCAUGAUUUAGAGCUGGCAGUGGUGAUCUUCGCUUUGAAACUAUGGAGGCACUACUUGUACAGUGCCCAUUGCGAGAUCUACAUCGACCACAAGAGUCUGAAGUAUCUAUUCACACAAAAGGAGCUUAACAUGCGACAAUGGCGGUGGUUAGAACUAUUAAAGGAUUAUGAUGUAGAUAUCCUUUACCACCCUGGGAAAGCGAAUGUAGUCGCGGAUGCACUCAGCAGGAAGUAUGCAGAGAACCUCGCUAUGUGGGUUACAAAUCAAACACCCCUAUGGCUCGACAUGGAGCGAAUGAACCUUGAGGUGGUUACUCCCGAGAUUCCGGCUCAAGUGAUGACACUCAUUGUCCAACUGACCUUGUUGGAGAAGAUCAAAGUCUACAACCCACGGACCGAGAACUCCAAAAGGUGCGGCGCGACAUCGAGAAUGGUUGUGGCAGCAACUUUACGAUAGACGCCGGUGGUGCACUUCGAUUUCGAAAUCGAUGGUGUGUGCCGAACAAUGAGGAGAUCCGAAGGCUAAUCUUGCAAGAGGCACAUUGGUCGCCUUAUUGCGAUCACCCGGGCGGCACCAAAAUGUAUCAAGGAUUAAAAAUGCACUAUUGGUGGCCGGGAAUGAAAGUGAUAUUGGACGCUUCGUAGCGAAGUGCUUAGUAUGCCAACAAGUAAAGGCCGAGCGUCGAUUUUCGGCGGGUAAGCUUCAAAGCCUACCAAUCCCCGUUUGGGAAUGGGAGGAUGUGUCGAUGGACUUCGUGGUCGGUUUGGCUCGCUCAACUGGUGUCCACGAUGCAAUCUGGGUAAUUGUGGACCGAUGGACGAAGUCGGCUCACUUUUUGCCGAUCCACACCACGUGGGCAGGUGACAAACUAGCGCAGGUGUACCUUGACGAGAUAGUGAGGUUACACGGGGUACCAAAGUCGAUCGUGUCGGUUCGCGACCCUCGGUUUACUUCACACUUCUGAAAAAGCCUGCAGGAAGUCCUUGGCACACGGCUCGAUUUUAGUACCACAUUUCAUCCUCAGACAGAUGGGCAAACCGAGAGGACCAUUCAAACUCUGGAGGAUAUGUUACGAGCGUGUGUCAUCAAUUAUAAAGGGAGUUGGUGUGAUCAUCUGCCGAUGGCCGAGUUCGCCUACAACAAUAGCUAUCAUGCUAGUGUGGAGAUUGCACCAUUCGAGGCUCUCUAUGGGCGGAAGUGUCGGUCUCCUAUACACUGGGGUGAUGUGGGUGAGCGUGUAGAGUUCGGCCGCGAUGUUUUGCGAGAAGCGGAGGAGAAAGUCCGCCUUGCUUGCAAGAGAUUGCUCAUGGCGCAGUCGAGACAGAAAAGCUAUGCGGAUAGGCGCCGUCGAGAUAUAGAGUUCGCGGUGGGCGACCGCAUAUUCUUGAAGGUUUCACCGAUGCGGGGCAUGAAACGAUUUGGAGUACGGGGAAAGCUAAAUCUCCCGUACAUCGGACCUUAUGAGAUAUUGGAGCGAGUAGGCACGGUGGCCUAUCGGUUGGCCUUGCCGCCGAAGCUCGCCGAUGUGCAUAAUGUAUUCCAUGUCUCCAAUCUUUGCAAGUAUAUUUACGACCCCGAGCAUGCGAUGCUAUAUGAGCCACCGGAGCUCCAAGAAGACUUGAGCUAUGAAGAAUUCUCGGUGAUGGUUAUUGCUCGAGAAGUGCGAAAACUUAGAAAUCGCGAAAUUCCGUAUGUUAAGGUUCGGUGGAGCAAUCACGAUGAUCGCGAAGCCACCUGGGAACUCGAGGAGCUGAUGAAAAAGCAUCAUCCUUAUCUAUUUAAGGAUUAAGGUAAAAGUUUAAGUUAAAGUUGAGAAUUGAGUUAGUUUCGAGGACGAAACUCUUUUUAAGGCGGGGAGGAUGUAAGGAAGUGAAUUCUCGAAAUUCAAGAGUUGUACUUCGUCCAGAAUCGACUACUUGUCGUAUAGGAUGGCUUCGAGGAAGCUAAAGAUGACCAAAACACAAAAAGUGCUUUAGAGUCGAGUCUGCGAGAGUAAAUAAUGCAAAAAUCUGCACUUGGCCGAGUUGCUCUCGGGGACCGGUCCCUGGAUCGGUCCCCGUAGCUGGUGGUUGUGGGGGAUGCUUGAUGCAACCGGUCCCAGAGCUGGGGAACCGGUCCCCAUAUGCGAAACCAGUGAGACAGAGGAAAAUUUGGCAAAGUCCUGAAAACUCAGCUCACGGGAACCGGUCUCUCAGGUAAGGGCCGAUCUCCCAGGGACCGGUCUCUCGUGCAAGGACCGGUUUCCGUACGCGUGAAAAUUGGGAAGGUCCUAGGGGACCGGUCCCUUCGCGUGAAAACUGCCCAGACAGAGCAGUUUGAGAGAAACAAAGUGGAGAGGUUUUAAUGCAAUUGUAGCAUUAGUUAGAGAGUAUAGAGAGCAAAGAGCUCUCUCACCCUCUCUCAUUUCCUUCACUCUCUCACAUUCUCUCUCUCUCUCUCUCUAAAAAGAAAAGAAGAAGAAAAAAAUAAGAAGGAGAAGAAGGAGGAGAAGAAGAAGAGAAGGAAGAGAUCAAGCUUGAGGAGGCUUGGAGCAUCUUCCUCUUCCUCUCCUCACCAUUGGAGCUAACCUAGAGGUAAGCUCUUGAAUCCUAGCAUGUAGAACUUAGGGUAUUUGGGUUUUUGGCUUUUAGGAUGAGGUCAAAUGGACCUCUAGCACUAUUAAUGGUGGAUUAAAGUUAGAAUCCAAAGUUGGAUGGAGUGGUUUGCAUUGGGCAAACCUAGAGCUCCAAAAUUGGGAUUUUUGUAAAAGGAAGGUUUUGAUCUAAAUUGAUCAUGUAUUAACCUAAUUGCUAGGUGUCUAAACGCGUGGGAAGCGACGGAUUGAGCAUUCGUCGAGCGGGUGCGAAGAUAUAGCCGAAACAAGCGUUUGGGGCUUCGUGUUGACCCGAAGAGCAUAAGUGGCGAUCAAGGAUCGCGAAAUCGAGUGCUUAGCAUCGCGACAUUACCCAAGAGGUGGGGGGUGUCCAUCCCGAAGCAACUGGGCUUCUUCCUAUGUCUAAGUAUCUUUGUGUGAUUACAUUCCAUAUAUAUAACAUCAUGCAUGGUAGGGUGUUUAGAUGUUACUUUACUACUCUUGCAUAUUCCUUGGUAAUGCGGCAUAGUAGGCUUGGCAAGUGAACUUAGGAAUGCAUGAGAAUGAGCUCUGUGACAUAGAACCCUAUAGAGAUAAGUUAGACUGUAACUUGAUCUUGCAUGGAUGAUUAUAGUGAUAUAUGACUAGUAUAGUCGGGAUAAUUGCAUUAUGGCAAAUGGCAUGUAUACCAAGUAAAUAACUUGACGAGUGGCAUAUGUAUACCAAGUAAACAACUUAACGAGUGGCAUUAGAAUUUAGUGUUAGAGAACACUUGUGGCAUGGUAGUCCUAGUGACUGGAUCUCCUCAUUUGACGAUGAAUGGAUUGGAUUAUACUCAUACGUCUGUUUAGCGCUUGUGGCGGUCGCUCCGCAUAAGUAGUGCGCUCCAGAGUUUGGCACGUGAAUCGAUUGCGAUAGUGUAGCACACUGGAACUUUGCAAAUUGCGAGGUUCGAGUGUUUGAUAUGGAUCCCGAACUUUUCCACACUUGGUGGAGGUCGUAGAUGGUAUUCCGACCUAAAAGUUCGAUUUCUGGAGUUUUGGCUUUGUCCUGAGAGUUUUCACUCUCGGAGACCGGUCCCUGAUGGGAGAGACCGGUCUUCUCAGCACAGUGUCGCGACCAGCUUGAGGCAACCGGUCCCUGGCUGUGAGAGACCGGUUCCCGAACGUGUGUUUUGCGAGAAGGGUCCGAGAGACCAGUACCUGGCAGGGAGAGACCGGUUCCUGAACGUUGGUUCUGCGGGGCAGGCUGAGAGACCGGUCCCAGGUGUCGGGGAGACUGGUCCCUCAGUCCGAAAACUGCCCAGACCCGGGUGUGCGCAGAGUGGAUUUUUGAGGAACCUAAGUGGAUUUUGUUACCUUAUAGGCUAUAGAGAGCCUCUCCUCUCCCUCUCACUCUUAUUUCCUCUCCUUCACACUCUCCUUACACUUCUAGAGAGAGAAGGAGAAGGAGAAGAAGGAGAAGGAAAGGAGAGGAGCUUACUUGGAGGCCUUGGAGCAUCAUCUUCUUCCUCAUUUCUCACCUUGGUGGCUUGGAGCUUGCAGUUGGAGCCUUGUGGAGGAUCAAACUCCAACCCUACUUGGUUUAGAGCUUGGUUUGGAGCUUCUCUUGAGGUUGGUAGCUGGUAUUUCCUAUUUAAUACAAGUUUUUCUAGAUUUUACUAGAUAAAACCCUAGAUUUUGGGAUUUAGGGUUUACUUUGGAGAUUUUUAUUUGAGGGCUUUGAGACCUAAUUGAUGGGUUUAGAACCUUUAUUUAGGUUGGAUUUGAAGAACUCUAACUCUCAUUUGGAGCUUGAGAGAGGAUUUCUUUACCUAGGUGAGUUUUUCUCCACCUUAGCCUAUGUUGCUUAUUGAUUGAGCUUAGGGUUGAUCGUAAGGUUUGUUUGACCCUUGUUCCUACAUCUUUAGGGUGCUAGGAGACUCGUGGACAUCUUCGUCGGAUCUUACGAAGGGUUUCGGUAACUUCGGUGGGUUUGACUUCAUGAAAUCGAGGCAAAAUAGCCCCUAAGUAUUCGAUACUUGUCGUAACGCCAAUUCGAUUGCAUAUUUAUGUUAAAUGAGAUUUAUGUGAAUUUUAGAACACUUAAAUUGCAUGCCUUAUGUAUCAUAAAAAUUUCACUCUAUAUAGUAGGGCAUUCGGGGCAUUUUUGCAUGCAUAUGAGGAGUGUUCGUGUUAGCGACUUGGAAACGUGUCUCUUAUGUUAGAGUUUACUCAAAUUAUGCAUUUGUAAACAAUAAACUCAUGUUUGGACUUAGUUGACAAAAAGCCAUAAAGAGGCACUUGACAUAGUAAACUGUGAAACUGCAACAUAGAGACAUAGCAAUAGGCCAUUGAACAUCUUCUAUAUUCGAUGUUAGAGACAUGAUGAUAUAGAGAUAGGCCUUUGAGACAUUCGACGUAUAUUUCAUGUUUUUAGACAUGAGGACUUGGUACUUGAGACAGAUUUUUCGCUUGCUUGCCAUUGUGCUCAUUCGCACAUUCUUGUGAGGGUCGCUCCUACAAGCCGGCACUCCGGAGAUAGCCAUCGCGACAUAUGCUCGCUCGUGCGGGAUUGGGCGCCGAAAUGGGAUGCCGUGGGGAAGGCUCAUUCCUAGAGUGGGGAUGUUGACUACCACGGGACCAUUAGGCACGACGCAGGUCAGACAGCCUACGGGUGGGUCUUAUAUGAUUGGAACUUGGUGACAGAACAUGCCAUUUAGACUUUGACUAGAAUAGUAAACAAUGACAUUUUACUAUUUAGCUUGUGGACAUCAUGCUAGUGAUACCUUGGUACAUUCAUGUUAGAAUAGUCCUUUUUAUUACUUAUGCAAUUCAUGCUAAGUAGAGAUAUCAUGUUGUAGUAAGUUACAUGUUUACUCACAUAUCGAUUCUAUUGCUUUUAUUGUUACUUACCUGUUUAGCUCUUUUGGGCCUAGUGGUGCUUUCACUGAAGUUAGUAAUUGCCCACUGGGAACUAUUAUUUAAUAGUUCUCAUGCCCCUUGUUUUAUGUUUCCUUUUCAGAGCCCGAUGGACCGGCGGAGGCACGGGAUCGCGGCAAGGGAAUCGCUAGCUAGAUAGCGAGAAUUUGCUGUUGCUUAGGUAGUUUUCUCUCUUUUUGUUGUAGUUGAGAGAGAGUGAGGUUUUGUAUCCAUGUAUAGAGACCACCUAUGUAUUUACUUAUAUCUCUUGUUUCGGGUUUCCUCUUGUGCUACUUUAUGUUUUCAUUUAAUGGAUUUUUAGUUUAGGGUUUUUAUCCUCUAUUAUAGCAUCUAGAUAUACUUGCUCUGAUACUUCUAUAUGUUUUCUUUUUACUGCUUUCUUUAUCGUUUUGUUUUAUAUGCCUUAUAUGUUUUAGACAUAUGGCUGGUCUGGACACGCGCCGGGCGGGCUUCCGCUGGGUCCCGGGGCGUGACAGAUUAGUUUGGUAUCAGAGGCUAGGGUUGAGUCUUAGUGGGCCUAGCAAACCUUAGGCCGGUUGGACUAUAGGAAAUAGGCUCGUGAGAGACGAGGUCUAUUUGACUUAUAAGCGAAAGUAUUUUGAUUGGAUAUCUUUGAUAACUCUAGAAAGUAGAGUUAAAUUGAAGUGUAUAGCUCCUAACUUCGCAGAGGGUUACGUUGGCGGCCGACAACGUAACAUCGGGAGUUAGUAGUGAAGCACACUUCCUUACUUUCGCAUGAUUUGGGGUAUUACCUUCUUGAGUGGGGAUUCGAUGGCGUGAGUUUACUAACUUACGCUUUUAUGAUGUUGUAGUGAGAUACUGAUCACUCGCUCCCAAUCUGCCGGAGCGGAUAAUGCGGCAAACUUGAAGGAGGUCGAGACCUCCGCUACCUCCGGAUCUGGCGAGGUCCAAGAGUUGAGGAACCAACUUGCGGCCCUCACCGACUUAGUGACUCAGCAGGCGGAGGCGGCCUGACAGCAGACUGAGGCUGCGCGCCGGCAUGAGGCACGGAUGAAGUGCCUGGAUGACCUUCUUCUGCAGCAGGCGGUAGCUUCCAGGGAGACCGAGGCCCCUACACCGCCAGCUCUGGUUGUGGACGUCGCGCCGAGGGCGCCGUCCCCCGUGCCCAGUUCGUCGCAUGCGGCACCCGUGGCCGCGCCUCAGGAGGAGGCUUUGGCGGCGCCACCUGUUCAGGCGCCCCCGAUUGGAGCUAUUUUUCCCGUGUUGGUCGAGGGAGCGGAGCGAGACCGACUGAUGGAGCGCCUCAACGAGUUCAGAAGGUGCAGUCUCCGGAUCUUCGACGGCGAGAAGGUCGACCACUGGAUCGUGGAGAAGUGGUUGAUGCAUAUGGAGAAACUCUUCCGCGACACUUUCGUGGAGGAGAGGGAUCGAGUUUGGCUCGCCACUCACCAUCUGGACAGCGAGGCCUAUCGCUGGUGGUUGGAUCUUCAGGAGAAUGCCAACACCGACUUAGCGGCCAUCACGUGGAAGAAGUUCAAGGAGCUUCUUUUGGCGCAUUACUUCCCGACCAGCGUUAAGCAGAAGAUGGAGCAGGAUCUGCGCAACUUGCGCCAAGGUGAUCGGACUGUAGCCGAGUACGAGCGGGAGUUUGCUCGGCUUCUACACUGCGUACCUUUCGUCGUGCGGGACGACGAGGACAAGGCCCGCAUCUUCGAGCGAGGGUUGCGACCGUCAAUCUUCCGGUUUGUGCAAUCCUCUAACCUUCAAACCUACCGGGAGGUGGUGGAUCGCCGGCUCAUCGUGGAGAGCGGCGCGGAAGACGUCCAGGAGCGGCAAGAGGCUAUGGACAAGGGUAAGGCCAAGAGGCCUGCAGCUGAGGGUGUGAGCCAGACGCACUCUGGGAGGCCGCCGAAGCAUCCUAGGAGCCAGCAGUGGCUCGGCGACUCACCAUGGAGGUUUUGACCGACGCCGACCUCCCCAGUGCGUGAUCUGUGGUGGUCCCCACAUUCCACCGCAGUGCCCGCAGCGGGGAGGGAGGUAUUUCCAGUAUGGCCAGGAGGGCCACUUUUGGACCAAGUGCCCGAGAGGUUCUUUACCGGCACAGUCGAUUGCAUCGGCACCGGCUCUACCAAUCGCUAGCCACGGGACUCCGUCGACACAGUACCAGCCUGGGCGGCCACCCGUCGAGCGCCAGAGCGAGGGAUCUCGACAGGCCCCGAGUGGGCGUUUGUAUGCCGCUCAGACCGAGAAUGCGGCGUCAGCCGAGGAUGUGGUUGCAAGUAUCAUUUUACUUGAUGGCAUUAGAGUUCGUGCUUUAUUUGAUACCGGUGCAUUGCAUUCAUUUAUAGAUCGGCUGUUUGCCGAGUUGCAUAGCAUCCCUUUGAUUUUUUUGUUGCAUCCGGGACAUGUUGUAGUACCCGACCACACACUGGAUAUUAGAGAGUAUUGCCCUAGUUGCCCUGUUCAAGUAGGAGAUUGGAUCAUGCCCGUAGAUUUGCUAGCUCUGCGCAAGCUAGGGAAUUUCGAUGUGGUCUUGGGUAUGGAUUUGCUAACCAAGUAUUAUGCCACGAUUGAUUGUAAGAAUCGCACGAUUACUUUUAGAGAACCGGGGCAAACUGAGGUUGUGUAUAGAGGAUGCCGGAGUUCGCUUUUUGCGAUGUCGAUCAGCUCGUCUCGAGCUAGGCAGCUGAUCAGCCGAGGAUGUGUAGCUUACUUGGCUAGUGUUGUGUUGAGGGGCGAAGAUGACACCCCUAGGAUUGAGGAUAUUUCGGUGGUACGGGAGUUUCAGGACGUGUUUCCAGUUGAGCUACCGGGUAUGCCACCCGAUAGGGAGAUCGAGUUUGUGAUAGAUCUCAUCCCUGGGACUACUCCAAUCUCGAAGGCACCCUAUAGGAUGGCACCGGCGGAGCUAAAGGAGCUGAGGGCACAGAUACAUGAUCUGUUGGACAAGAGCUUCAUUCGACCGAGCGUCUCGCUGUGGGGAGCGCCAGUUCUGUUCAUCAAGAAAAAAGGACGGAUCACUUUGCCUAUGUGUAGACUAUCGUGAACUUAAUAAAGUCACGAUCAAGAAUAAGUAUCCGCUGCCGAGGAUCGAUGACUUGUUUGAUCAGCUUCAAGGAUCGUGUGAGUAUUCCAAGAUCGACUUGCAGUCGGGACACCACCAAUUGAAGAUCAAACCCAAGGAUGUAUCGAAGACGGCUUUUAGAAUACGGUAUGGACAUUAUGAGUUCACAGUUAUGCCGUUUGGGCUUACUAAUGCCCCGGCUGCUUUUAUGGAUCUGAUGAACCGUGUUUUCAAGCCUUACUUGGAUAGAUUUGUCGUGGUGUUCAUCGACGACAUUUUGGUUUAUUCUCGAAGUGACGCAGAUUACAAGGAGCAUUUGAGGCUUGUACGUCAAAUACUUCGGGAAAAGGAGCUGUAUGCCAAGUUGAGAAAGUGUGAAUUUUGGCUUCGAGAGGUUGCUUUUCUUGGACAUUUGAUUUUGGGAUCGGGUAUAGCUGUGGAUCCUAAAAAAAUUAAGGCUAUCAAGGAUUGGCCUAGACCGACGUGUCACGGAGAUACGGAGCUUCGUUGGAUUGGCCGGUUACUACCGGAGGUUUGUUGAGGGAUUCGCUAAGCUAUCUACUACUCUCACGAGGCUCACGCAUAAAGGUGUCAAGUUCAUCUGGAAUGAGGCAUGUGAGAGAAGCUUCCAAGAGCUGAAGCAACGACUGACGACCGCCCCUAUCCUAACCCUGCCAAUUGCUGGAGCAGAGUAUGUGGUUUACAGUGAUGCAUCUCUUAACGGAUUCGGCUGUGUUUUGAUACAGGACGGCAAGGUGAUCGCGUAUACUUCUCGCCAAUUAAAGAAAUAUGAAAAGAAUUACCCUACGCACGAUUUGGAGUUUGCGGUCGUAGUCUUCGCAUUGAAGUUAUGGCGCCACGACCUCUAUGGCGAGCGGUGUGAAGUGUACACAGAUCACAAGAGCUCGAAGUACUUGUUCACUCAGAAGGAGACUUGAGACAGCGUAGAUGGCUGGAGCUGCUCAAGGAUUAUGAUUUGACUAUUCUUUACCACCCGGGCAAGGCUAACGUGGUGGCGGAUGCACUAAGUAGGAAAUCAACAGAAAACUUAGCGAUGUAUGUUGUUACUUAACCGCAAUUGAUCGAGCAAAUGAAGCGGUUGGAGUUGGAGGUAGUGACUCCUGACACGCCUGUGAGGUUAAUGACUUUGGUGAUGCAACCCACACUCUUGGAUAGAAUUAAAGAGAAGCAAGCUUCCGAUGUGGAGUUGCGAAAGAUUAAAGGUAAAAUGGUUGAUGAUUGCACCGACGAUUUCCUUGUGGAUGACCAAGGAUUUAUGCGUUUCCGUGGACGGAUUUAUGUACCGGCAGAUUCGGGAAUUAAAGAGGAUAUUCUUCAAGAAGCACACCGAGCGCCCUAUGUUAUACAUUCGGGAGGCACCAAGAUGUACAAGGACUUGAAGUUGCUUUAUUGGUGGCCCGGGAUGAAAAAAGAUGUUGGCGAGUUUGUAGCUCGAUGUCUAACUUGCCAACAAGUGAAAGCUGAGCACCGAUUACCCACGGGAAAGCUUCAGAGUUUGCCUAUUCCCGUGUGGAAGUGGGAGAAGAUUACCAUGGAUUUCGUGACUGGAUUGCCUCGCUCUCAGGCCGGGCAUGAUGCUAUAUGGGUGAUCGUGGAUAGGUUGACGAAGUCAGCGCACUUCAUACCUAUUCAUACUAUUUGGACCGGAGAGAAGGUCGCACAAGUAUACCUUGAUGAAAUUGUGUGACUUCAUGGAGUGCCUACAUCGAUAGUAUCGGAUCGAGACACUCGGUUUGUGUCUCAUUUAUGGAGGAGUCUACAAGACGCCUUGGGCAUCCGAUUGGACUUCAGCACUGCUUUCCACCCCUAGAGUGAUGGGCAGUCGGAGCGCACCAUUCAAACUUUAGAGGAUAUGCUCCGAAUAUGUUUUAUAGACUUCUAGGGAGGAUGGUCGCAGCAUCUACCGAUGGCGGAGUUUGCUUAUAACAACAGUUAUCAAGCAAGCAUCAAGAUGGCACCUUUCGAAGCACUUUAUGGACGGAAGUGUAGAUCACCACUUCAUUGGAGCGACGUAGGCGAGAGAUUGGCUUUAGGCCCUGACGUGCUCCAGGAAGCUGAGGACAAAGUUCGAAUUGCUCGGGAGCGACUUUUGACGGCACAGAGUAGACAGAGGAGCUACACCGACCGACGACGGCGAGACUUGGAGUUCCAAGUUGGAGACCAUGUUUUCUUGAAGGUCUCGCCAACUAGAGGAAUCAAGAGGUUUGGGAUUCGGGGAAAGUUAAGCCCCCGGUUUAUUGGACCAUAUAAGAUCUUGGAACGUGUAGGUCCGGUGGCGUAUCGACUUGCUCUACCACCGAACCUAUCGGUCCUGCACAACGUCUUUCAUGUAUCGGUCCUUCGGAAGUAUGUCUUCAACCCGACUCACGUAUUGGACGCUACACCUUUGGAGUUGCGGGACGACUUGAGCUUCGAGGAGCAACCAGUGAGGAUUUUGGCUCGUGAGGUGCGAAAACUGCGGAAUCGGGAUAUUCCGUAUGUGAAGGUUCUUUGGAGCAACCACGGGGAGCGGGAGGCCACGUGGGAGCUGGAGAGCGCGCUACAGGAGCGCUAUCCCCAUCUUUUUCAGAUGGAGUCUUGAGGUAUGUGUUGGCUUUCGAGUUUCGUGGACGAAACUUCUUUUUAGGAGGGAUGAAUGUAGCACACUGGACCUUUGCAAAUUGCGAGGUUCGAGUGUUUAAUAUGGAUCCCGAACUUUUCCACACUUGGUGGAAGGUCGUAGAUGGUAUUCCGACCUAAAAGUUCGAUUUCUGGAGUUUUGGCUUUGUCCUGAGAGUUUUCACUCUCAGGGACCGGUCCCUGAUGGGAGAGACCGGUCCCCUCAGCACAGUGUCGAGACCAGCUUGAGGCAACCGGUCCCUGGCUGUGAGAGACCGGUUCCCGAACGCGUGUUUUGCGAGAAGGGUCCGAGAGACCGGUCCUUGGUAGGGAGAGACCGGUUCUCGAACGUUGGUUCUGCGGGGCAGGCUGAGAGACCGGUCCCAGGUGUCUUGGAGACCGGUCCCUUAGUCCGAAAACUGCCCAUACCCGGGUGUGCGCAGAGUAGAUAUUUGAGGAACCUAAGUGGAUUUUGUUACCUUAUAGGCUAUAGAGAGCCUCUCCUCUCUCUCUCACUCUUAUUUCCUCUCCCUCACACUCUCCCUACACUUCUAGAGAGAGAAGGAAAAGGAAAAGAAGAAGAAGGAGAGGAGAGGAGCUUACUUUGAGGCCUUGGAGCAUCAUCUUCUUCCUCAUUUCUCACCUUGGUGGCUUGGAGCUUGCGGUUGGAGCCUUAUGGAGGAUCAAACUCCAACCCUUCUUGGUUUAGAGCUUGGUUUGGAGCUUCUCUUGAGGUUUGUAGCUUGUAUUCCCUAUUUAAUAAAAGUUUUUCUAGAUUUUACUAGAUAAGACCCUAAAUUUUGGGAUUUAGAGUUUACUUUGGGAAUUUUUGAUUUGAGGGCUUUGAAACCUAAUUGAUGGGUUUAUAACCUUUAUUUAAGUUGGAUUUGAAGAACUCUAACUCCCAUUUGGAGCUUGAGAGAGGAUUUCUUCACCUAGGUGAGUUUUUCUCCACCUUAGCCUAUGUUGCUUAUUGAUUGAGCUUAGGGUUGAUCGUAAGGUUUGUUUGACCCUUGUUCCUACAUCUUUAGGGUGUUAGGAGACUAGUGGACACCUUCGUCGGAGCUUACGAAGGGUUUCGGUAACUUCGGUGGGUUUGACUUCAUGAAAUAGGGGCACAAUGGCCCCUAAGUAUUCGAUACUUGUCAUAACGCCAAUUCGAUUGCAUAUUUAUGUUAAACGAGAUUUAUGUGAAUUUUAGAACACUUAAAUUGCAUGCCUUAUGUAUCAUAAAAAUUUCACUCUAUAUAGUAGGGCAUUCGGAGCAUUUUUGCAUGCAUAUGAGGAGUGUUCGUGUUAGCGACUUGGAAACGUGUCUCUUAUGUUAGAGUUUACUCAAAUUAUGCAUUUGUAAACAAUAAACUCAUGUUUGGACUUAGUUGACAAAAAGCCAUAAAGAGGCACUUGACAUAGUAAACUGUAAAACUGCAACAUAGAGACAUAGCAAUAGGCCAUUGAACAUCUGCUAUAUUCCAUGUUAGAGGCAUGAUGACAUAGAGAUAGGCCUUUGAGACAUUCGACGUAUAUUCCAUGUUUUUAGACAUGAGGACUUGGUACUUGAGACAGAUUUUUCGCUUGCUUGCCAUUGUGCUCAUUCGCACAUUCUUGUGAGGGUCGCUCCCUACAAGCCGGCACUCCGGAGAUAGCCAUCGCGACAUAUGCUCGCUCGUGCGGGAUUGGGCGCUGAAAUGGGAUGCCGUGGGAGAGGCUCAUUCCUAGAGUGUGGAUGUUGACUACCACGGGGCCAUUAGGCACGGCGCAGGCCAGACAGCCUACGGGUGGGUCUUAUAUGAUUGGAACUUGGUGACAAAAUAUGCCAUUUGGACUUUGACUAGAAUAGUAAACAAUGAUAUUUUACUAUUUAGCUUGUGGACAUUAUGCUAGUGAUACCUUGGUACAUUCAUGUUAAAAUAGUCCUUUUAUUACUUAUGCAAUUCAUGCUAAGUAGAGAUAUCAUGUUGUAGUAAGUUACUUGUUUACUCACAUAUCGAUUCUAUUGCUUAUUGUUACUUACCUGUUUAGCUCUUUUUGGCUUAGUGGUGCUUUCACUGAAGUCAGUAAUUGCCCAUUGGGAACUAUUAUUUAAUAGUUCUCACAUCCCCUGUUUUAUGUUUCCUUUUCAGAGCCCUCUGCACCAGUGGAGGCACGGGAUCGCGGCAAGGGGAUCGCUAGCUAGAUAGCGAGGAUUUGCUGUUGCUUAGGUGGUUUUCUCUCUUUUUGUUGUAGUUGAGAGAGAGUGAGGUUUUGUAUCCAUGUAUAGAGACUACCUAUGUAUUUACUUAUAGCUCUUGUUUCGGGUUUCCUCUUGUGCUACUUUAUGUUUUCAUCUACUGGAUUUUUAGUUUAGGAUUUUUAUCCUCUAUUGUAGCAUCUAGAUAUACUUGCUCUGAUACUCCUAGAUGUUUUUUUUUUACUGCUUCCUUUAUCGUUUUGUUUUAGACACCUUAUAUGUUUUAGACAUAUGGCGGGUCUGGACACGCGCCGGGCGGGCUUCCGCUGGAUCCCGGGGCGUGACAGAUAGCCUAGGUGGGUUCCCAAGGAAUAGCCUAUGUGGGGUCCAGCAGACAGUCCCUCGGGUGGUUCGAGUCCCCCUUCAUAGACGGACUUGAGAUGUGUGUUGAAGACGCGCCUAUGGGCCAGCCAGAUGAUUGGGUAAUAAACUCAAGAGAAUUAUGCAAACUGGGCAUAUUGGGUAUAUUAUGCAUAUUGAGCAUUGUAGAGUUGUAUCCAUACUCGAUGUUGGUAUUAUAGCAUGUUAGCGAAUGCAUGGCUAUGUUGUUCAUUCUUGAAUCUUAAGGCAUAGUAGAGUAAUGCAAUUCUUUCAAUAUGCAUCAUUUACAGUUUUGGGAUAUCUAUCUAUCUAUCUAUCUGCUUAUGCCUACUUAGACCUAGUGGGGAGAUCGGCGCAGUCGGCGGCCGAACCCACUGGAAACUAUAUUUAUAUAGUUCUCACCCCACUUUGUUGCAGGGCCUAGCGAGAGAGCACCGGCAGAGGACCGUGAUAAGGGCAUAGCGCCCUAGACAUAUAGCAGCUUCCUAUGCAUUAGAGUACCCUCGAGUACCUAAAGUUAUGAUCUAUUUAUACUGUAGGAGUUGCUUAUGUAUUUUGGAGGAUUAUUGUAUAUAUCCGUUUUUGCAAGUUACAAAAUGUAAACUUGAUGUAAAAGAAUUAUUGCAUGGAUGUAAUAGCUAGAUCUUCCUCUCUUUAUUUCAUAUGUCAUACUUGUGAAUUUUUGCUCUUACUUGUUGGCACUGGUAGUGCUUUUCGUGAUCAUGUAUGUAUUGAAUUUAAAUUCUUAGGCAAAUUCUUGUAUAUGAUCUGAUUGUUGGCCUUGGGCGGAUAGGGGAGGUGCUGUCCGUUCGGCGUCUGUUAGACGCGCCCGAACCGGACCAAAUUAGUAGCGGGGCUCGGGGCGUGACAGAUGAUUAUAGUUUUCACAAAUCCGUCAUUUGACCCUUUGUGACCUAGUCAUUCUUGACUCUUGUCGUUUGAUGACCUACGAGGUCGGUGUACCCUGAGGGGUAGGAUUGUCGGCUAGUGGCUGACGAUAGUUUCAGAUUAUAGUGAUACAUUCUUGUGACCUAUUGAUAGUACUUGCAUACUUUUGGUAGAAUGUUGAGUUGUUCCAUCCUAGUUGACCUGAGUGGUCUGUUCUUGUGCUUCCUUAUAGUCUGAUGACUUAUUAAUCGGUUUGCCCCGAGGGGCGGUGAUUGUCGGCUGUUUGUUGACGGUUGGCUAUUGAUCAUAUCCGCAUUGAUCGCCACGGCUCGAGUGCAUUUUACGUACACCAGCGGAUUGAUCCCCCGCAGGAGGGUGUUUUUUUUCGGAAAAAUGGUCGUACAUCCGACUCGUGAGCCCAGCGGUGUUCUCUUUGUGCUAGGGUUAUAUGCCAGGUGUGAGCAGGUAGUGGCUUUUGCCUGAGGUCCUUAGACCGACACGGCGGUUUAGAUUGGGUAUAUUUGGACUUCUCGUCCGGUUGACGCAUAUAACUAUAGUAGCGGUUGUUGCUUGUAUACUUACAAUUUUUUCUUUACACUUGUUUUGCUACUAUAGUUUUGAUAUCUAUGUUUGCAUCUCGUUCUAUUUACAGUAGCAGUAGCUGUUCUUUCAUAUAUAUAUAUAUAUAUUAUUCGUUCAUUAUCGUUGCUACUGUAGUUCACUUACCCAUAUUGUUGUUUAUAUCUUCCUAAUCCGGUGAGUACUCCUCGCCUUCGUCGGCUUGCGGUACCCACUGGGAGGGGAGACAUGUUUACAUGUUCUCACAUCCCCCACCAUUUUUUAGGUAUUGCGGGAGGUGAGGUUGAGACGAGACAUGAGACACGUUCGUAGCGAUCGUUAGAGCUUCUGCCCCGGUUUGUUCGGUUUAGUUGUCAUUCUCUUUAUUUCUGUUGGUAUAACUUAGACAUAUCAUGGUUCAUUUUUUGGUAUUUCAGUUAAUUAUUAUAUUUUGAUUUGGCUUUGUGAAUGUAAUAAAAAGAAUUCAUGAUUUUCAUAAAUAAAAAAUUUUCUACCCCUCGUGGUAGCAUUUUUAAAAGAUAAAAGUUUUCGUGUAGGAAACAAUUUUCAAAAGAUUUUUUGUGGAUUUAUGUUUAGACAUUGAAUGUAAAUCUGUGAUGUGAAUGGUGAAUGUAUGAAUGUAUAGUUAUCUCUAUAUUCAUUUAGUUGUCGUUGUAUCCGGUUUACUUGUUGUACUUGUGCGACGCCGUGCAAAUACAGGGGAGACUCUGUCCAUGUGAACAGUGAAUUUUCUGUAUUUAUGGUGGAUCUGGCAUACCCUGAGGUCAGGUUUUCAAAAAAAAAAAAAAAAUUAGACGCUUUUCCGCUGUGUUUCAAACUAAAAGGGACCCCGGGGCGUGACAAAUAGUCUAAGAAAUUCAUCCAUCUCCUACAUUAGUUGAAAUGCAGCAGGGUAUCCUCUUAAGCUGUGUUCGACUGUCGAAAUAAAAUAUUUAAUAAUUAUUCAUGUAGUAUAUAGAUUUUUUCUGUGUGAUUGGAAGUUAGGAGUUUGUUUUUAGCUAGUUGCAGUUUCUCGACAUCUACGAUUUGGUUGCAUAUAUAGAAUAGUUUAUCUACAAGGUUGGAUAUAGCAUCAACUUUAAAUAUUUGAUCACAUUUUUCAUCAAUUAAAUACUAUAAAUUUAAAUAAAUAAAACAGUAUGUUGAAUAAGAUAUUCAUGCAUUCAAACAUAAUCUUAAUUUGAGAGCAAUGAUUAUGCAUUUCACUUUUUACGUCCCAUGUCCCUCCCGUGUCUUCGUAUGGUGAUUGUCACUGCUUAUGGACACGAACUUGAGUGAUCUAGGAUGGAGCUGAAGAUAUACAUGUAUACCUAGAACAAAAAUUAGUACACAGAUACCGAGUUGGGUCUCUCUCUUAUGUACAUAUCCAUCCCUACUGAUAUCAUCGUAAGUGCUAACUUACCAUCAAAUUAAAGCAACACAGGCUAUUUAUGAAUGCAGGAACAUCUCUUUCGGCACACAACUCUUUUAUUAACUCAAUAUCGAUACAGGUUUUUUUGAAGUAAAAAAUAAGUAGAAAGUUACAAUAUAUACUAUAUGUGGUCUCUAUAUCAUUUAUUUAGAUUGCAUGAUAAUCAUAGAAAAACACAGAAUCUUAUAUGACCUAAAACUAAGCUCGUAUAUUAUUACAAUAAUGCAGGAAAAUCUCAAUAAUACAAAGUUGUUAUUAUUAUUAAAUAACUUAUUCAGAUACCAAAAUAUGCCCCAAUUUGUUUGUAUGCCCAAUUUAUUUGAAACUUGCUCCUCUACAAAAUUAAAAAAAAAAUGAUCUUGGGUAUUAUUCGGGCCCAAAUUUGAGUAAUUGGGUCCGGGCCCAGUCAUCUGAACAGGCCCGGCCCAUAUUCUACGAAUUCCGUAACGCAAUUUUCCUACAAUCUCGUGUACAGGAUACGCAUUUUUUUUGUUUUUAUAAAGAUUAUGAAUACACACAUCUAAAUAUAAUCUAUCACAUUUGAAAAUUUUAUAUUCUUCUAAAAAAAAGUGCUAGAUUUUGAAAAUUUAUUAUUUAAAUGCCAGAGUAAUAAAUAUGAAUACUAAAUAUCAGAAUUGAUACCACUAAAGCGGCUUUUAUAGUGGAGGUGCUGUGCUAUCACUAGUAUCGAGGCCUUCUUGUUAUAAACUCAUUUUUCAAUGAUCGGACAUUUAAUUCGACGAUUGCAGCACUGUUAAGUAUAAUUUAAAGUAUUUAAAUAUUUUAGAAAUAAAAUUUUAUAUUUUUUUUUAAAAUUAUUUUUUAUAGUAUGUCAGCUUGCUAAAAAAGGUUCAAAUUUGAACAACAACCUUCUACUAAUAUAGAAGAGUAUUUUUCAAAUUCGGAACUGGAUUUAUAGAUUUUGUUCUUAACAAUUAAUUUUUUUAAAAAACAAUGCAAUCAUUUUGGAUUUGUCAACAUCAUUGAGCAAGAAAACAUCUCAUAUGGACUAUUAAAAUUAUUACUAUUGAAAUUGUUUGAUCACAAUGUAAAUAAUUUUAAAAAAUUACAAUAUUCAUUAUCUAAGAACUUCAAAAGUGGUAGAUCAUACCUAAUAAUAUUGAUUUUCGAAAAGUAUCUGAAUAUAAAAAAAUGAGUCCAUAGCACAAAGAAAUAGGUGUUAUAUAUUAGAAGUAUUUUCGGCUAGCUCGGAAUUUGGUAAAAAAACGUACAAAACUUACUUAAACUAUAAAUUAUUUUGAAUCGAUAAUCUAAUAUUUUAAAAUUUUAAUUUUGCAAACCAAUCCUUCAAUUUGUUUUAUUUUAACUAGUUAACGAUAUUUUGACUUCAAUAUUUGAAUACAAUAUUUGAAUACAAUAUUUAUCUUACAGGUUUAGCUGGCAUAUAUUUUAUAUAAUUUUCGCAACUAUAAAUGUAUUAAAGUAAAAAAAUUACUAAUAUUUUAAAGAUAAAGUGCCAUCGAACAAUUUAAAUCAAAUAAAUUAAAAACCGAAAUUCAAAAUUUUCCUUAGUCCAUGCAAGUUUUAAUACUACAACCCUUCUCGGUUCAUCUCAGCCGUCCAUCAUCAUCUUCCCCGGUUUCGCAAAUCGGACGGCUGGUAUAUCGGAUCGCGCGUCCGCAUAUUUCCUCCCUAUUUUAACGGUGAUAUGAUUUAAGGCAUCUCCACGUGAUAAGCGGGCCCCGCAAGAAAGUAAGCUUAUUCUCUAAACCAGGUUCAUCCUUACAUAUUCUGCAGCACCCUUCAUCAUCCGUCCAUUUCAUCAAAUCUUUGAAUCCCCACCGUCUAAAAAUACAAUAAAGAGAAAAUGCUGCGACAUCUGAGCGGUUGAGAUUGACAUGUGUAAUAAGUGAACGGCAGAUAGAGCACAGUUUGUGUACAAGUAUGCUCCUGGACCCGCGCCCGCUCGCGUCCCGCACCUGCGCCCGCUCGCGCCCCGCGACUUCGCUCGCGCGCGCGCCUGCGCCAGCGCCUCGCUCCCCCGCGCGCUAAUAUAAUAACCCUACCCUCUUUGCAUGUUUCUCAUCUCUCUCUCUCUCUCUCUCUCUCUCUCUCUCUUCCGAUCGAUCCAAAGGCGCUCUCUCUCUCACUCUCUCUCUCUCUCUCUCUCUCUCUCUUCCGAUCGAUCCAAAGGCGCUCUCUCUCUCACUCUCUCUCUCUCUCUCUCUCUCUCUCUUCCGAUCGAUCCAAAGGCGCUCUCUCUCUCACUCUCUCUCUCUCUCUCUCUCUCUCUCUUCCGAUCGAUCCAAAGGCGCUCUCUCUCUCACUCUCUCUCUCUCUCUCUCUCUCUCUCUUCCGAUCGAUCCAAAGGCGCUCUCUCUCUCACUCUCUCUCUCUCUCUCUCUCUCUCUCUUCCGAUCGAUCCAAAGGCGCUCUCUCUCUCACUCUCUCUCUCUCUCUCUCUCUCUCUCUUCCGAUCGAUCCAAAGGCGCUCUCUCUCUCUCUCUCUCUCUCUCUCUCUCUCUCUCUCUCUCUUCCGAUCGAUCCAAAGGCUCAUUAAUGGUGAGCGCUACCCCUCUCUCUCUCUAUCUCUCUCUCUCCCUCCCCCUCGCUAUCUCAUCUGAAACCCUGAAUUCUUGUUCAGGGUGAUCGAUUUAUUCCUACUCGGAGCCUCAUGGAUCUCGACCGCGCGCGAUCGUCUCUUCUCGAGGGGAGAACCAAGAAACCGGCGGAGCGGUCCUCGGUCUUGACCCCGAAGGUGUUUGAUCGUGUUCAUCUUUCUUUCUUCCAAUGUUCUAGGGUUUCCUGGUUUCCGAUCUUCGUAUUAAAGUUGGAUCUUUUGGUUCUUGGUUUUUGGUUUCUUGGUCCCUGUUAUUGUGGCAGGAGGUGUAUAGGAGGAUGUUGGAGGAGAAUCUGACGCUGGAUUCCGAAGGGAGGCCGUUCAGGAUGCUUCCGUUCUGGAGCCCGAGCACGAGGAAUUCCAGGCGGAGUCUGCUUGUGGACGAGAUGAUGCAAGAGGAGCGCGAUCUUGCGAGAUAUUUCGGCCCAAUCCGCCAUGUUCCAUCGGUACUUUACUUCAUUCGCCCGACGCCUCUUUCGAUUACGCUUCCAUUGUCCUUGCUAUUUCUGUAGAAAAUCCACAUUUUUCUGGCGCAUUCAAUUGGAAGCGUGACCACCAUUGUUUGGUUUUCUUCAUUUUCGUUGUUUAUUUGUGUUGAUCUGAGAGAGGCACUCGACAGAACGGUUUGCCCUGACGGAAGGAUUGCGAUCGAAACUGUUGAGAUAUUCCAAAUAUUGUCAGAUAGAAAUUUUGAUUAAGUUACCCAAAAUUUUCUUCUCAUUAAAAGCUAAUGGCUGAGUUUGUAACUUGAAUCUAGUUGCGUCAUAAGAAUAUGUAAUUAUGUGAAGAAACUUUUUUCACUAAGGAUGUUUUGUAUGAUUUUCUCCUAAGCACUAGACAUCUGAAUGUUAUAAAUGAAUCUACAUUGCAUAUGCUUCCAUUGUCAAUUAAAUUACAAUGCUUUUUUCUUGGAACUGGUUCAUAAUUUAGCUGUUGGUACUGAACUCUGGAACAGUCUGCAGAUAAGAUACUGGAAGCGCCGGGCCUGAUUGAUGACUACUAUCUGAACAUAAUGGACUGGGGAAAGGAGAACAUUUUGGCUGUUGCAUCGGGCCCUUCGGUUUACCUAUGGAAAGCCGACACUGAUGAGGUGCAACUGCUCCUGUCGGCGGAUGAGGAGGAGAAUUACCCAACUAGCGUUUCAUGGUGUGAUGACGGGAAGAAGUUGGCCAUCGGAUACGCUACAUCUCAAAUUGAGCUCUGGGAUGCUCUGACCUUCCAGCAGGUAUAUGAGAAUUUCCCUUAGUAUCAUUUGUUCUGUGUUUCCAACUUUAGUAACAGUUUUAUUGGCUUUGAAUAUUUGAUGAUCAACGGGAAAUAGCAUAUUUAUCAACAGCGAACGCUACACAUUUUCCUUAGAAUGAGGGAAGUUAAAUAUUUGGAUGUUACUUGAUUGGUUUAGCCUGAUAAUUGCUUCAAAAGUUAUCUUGGGAACUCAAUUUUUAAGAAAGUUCGCAUCUGUUUUGAAUCAAACCUCCCCAAGUAAGUCGCAUGUGUUUGAGUAGAGCCUGGAUGAUCUUCCUGUGAGUUUUCAGAGUUAGUUGCUGCUGUGCGGUUUAGUUUUUCUCAAUCCUUUAUUAGUUUGAGAUGCUGUAGCCUUUCUUUUUGUUAAUGUAGUGCUAGCACUUGUUGCAGCAUUUAGUAUUCUGGAUCUUUUGAACUCAGGAAAUUUGAGUUCUUCGUUUGUACUGCCAGUUUUUUUUUGCACCUUUUGUUCUCCUGUCUACGGUGUUGUGUUGAAUUAGUAGUUCUUGUAUAGUUUUUCUUUCUUUUUAAUAUAUUUGUCAGGUGUUUACCUUCUAUAUGCUCCAUUUAUAUUGCAUAAAAUCAAGAGAAUUUUUUUCUCUUUGAAUAGGAGGAAAUAACUUUUGAGACUUGUUUACAUUUGCAACACAGGUUAGAACGUUCGAAGGGCACAAGAGAAGAGUAGGAAGCCUUUCAUGGAAUCGCCACAUUUUGACAUCAGGGAGCCGUGAUUGCUCCAUCAUCAACCAUGAUGGUAUAUAACUCACUUAUUUUAUCACGUCCCAUGAAUAGUCCAAACGCAUUAUCGACCUCUAUUUUUCUGUUUUUGAUUAUAUCCAAUGCUUACCGAAUUACCUCUCGCAGUGAGAUCACACCGCAAACCUGUGUCCCGAUUUCGCGGGCACUCUAACGAGGUAUGCGGCCUGAGAUGGUCAGAAGGUGGAAGACAGCUUGCCAGCGGAGGGAACGACAACCUUGUCUGUGUGUGGGAAUCCUUAAACAUGAGAUCCUCGAAGUACCUCCAUAGGUUUACUGACCAUAACGCGGCCGUAAGAGCCCUAGCUUGGUGUCCUCAUAAGUCGAACGUUCUUGCUUCUGGCGGCGGGGCUGCCGAUCGCUGCAUUAAGAUCUGGAAUACAUGGGAAGGGAAGUGCACUGCUAGUAUAGAGACUUCUUCUCAGGCAAAGUUCAUCCUCCCCUUUAUAGCAAUAGUUUCCUCAUUCAAGCCUUUUUCCAUAGUUGAAUCAAUUUAACAGCAACUAACUGUUCUGAUUCCUUGAUGUUUACUGAACAGGUUUGUGCAUUGGAGUGGAACAGGCACCAGAAGGAGAUUUUGAGUGCCCAUGGUUACGACCAAAAUCAGCUGACUUUGUGGUCGUACCCUUCGAUGUCGAGAAUUGCCGAUUUGAAAGGGCAUACUUCCAGAGUUCUGCACCUCACACAGGUUUAAACAAUAACAAAAAGAAAACACCAUGCUUUGCCUAUCAUAGUUUCAUUAGAAAAAAACUUCAUUAUUUAUAUGUUUCUCUUUCAAUGCUCUUAACGUGAUAUUACGUCCGCUGAUGCAGAGUCCGGAUGGUACGACGGUUGUGUCGGCUGCAGCGGACGAAAGCAUCUGUUUCUGGAAGGUGUUCGAGCCGCCUUGCAACUCUUCGAGAGCGGCAAACGAUGGCAGCGAUAGCAUCCUGUCGUUGAAUAGGAUGCACAUAAGGUGAUAGGUUUAGCACCCGCACUAAUUUAGCAAGAGUUUAUCCGCACCCGCACUAAUUUAGCAAGAGUUUAUCCCCCCCCCCCCCCCCCCCCCCAUGUUUAUACAUACACAUCAGCUUCAGGAAAUUGUGUAAUAUUUUGAGUUGUACCACCAAUUUUUUGGAAAUAAAAUAACACCUUGUUUGCUCUCUUACAGAAUUUUCAUAUCCUCUGAUCUGCUCCUUUUGUCUCAAUAGACAGAGUUUGUGCAAUAACUCUCUAAUAUUUGGACUCAAUAUGAUUUUAUAUUUACAGCUUCAGAUGAUCAUGGUUCUUGAUCAAUAACCACAAAUUUUCUGAUUUCCUGGCAAAGCCAACAUUGUCUAAAUGAAUUGGUUAUAAAUCUGAUAUCUUAGUGUUAAAGUUGGUGAAAACUGUUAAAAGUAAGAUAACCUUUCUGCAGUGUUUAAGAUAUAAGUAUACUUGGCCAUUAACAACAAACAGUAGAGGCCCAACAGGAUGAUCUGAUAAUAAUGAACUAAAUACUUAUAUAUAAUUUACUUCUUGUAGCUGGAGGUGCGGAUCAUGUUAUUUGUUGGGUCUUACUUCAGUUAUUUGACUAUUGUGUUCGGCCCUUUGAAUGAGAUUGUGCUUGAGAGGCUGUCUUAUGCCCUGUUUCAAUGCUGCCGAUGCUGAACACAUGCUCUCGUCUGGAGCAAUAUUUUCAUCUUGGUUCUCAUGUGCUAUGAUAUAUAAAUGGUUGUUUAUGCCAAUCCACCUAAAUUGUCACAAUGUAGAUGACUUGCCUAAUUUUUCUCUGUUGUAUGCUCUCUAAUGCCUUUCUAUCCCCUUUUUUUUGUGCAGUUUUUCGUUGGAGGCAACUGGAAAUGCGUGAGUACUUUGUCUUGCUUUACAAUAUUUUCUCUUCCUACUGCUCUAAGUGCCAAUGAUACAGUUUCAUCAAGAGGGGUCGGGUAGGGAAGGGAUAUUGUGGAUUCUGUGAUAGUAGGAGCAAGAAACCAGCUUGUUAACUGAAAGAGUUGAAGUAUUUUGCAAGUUAACUCUGAAAUGCUCAGCAGAUAUGCUUAGCUCUAUGUAUGAAGAUUGAUGUCCUUUCUGUUAUUGGUCCUUUCUUUAGGCUACGCUAAUAUCAUAUGGUACUUGUAUGUGAACAUACAUGGAACAUCCAUUGACGGGUUUAUAUGCAUGCACCUCACAGACACACAUGGAGAAAGAGAAAGAGAAUAUAUGGGCGGGGGGAGGAGGGAGAGAGGGAGAGAGUAAAUGGGGGAUACCUGUAGACGGGUUUACACACACACACACAUCAUAGACACACAUGGGGGUGGGGGGAGGGACUGUUCAGAAUGUUUUAUGUUAUAGGGUAACUGAAGAAAGCCAACUCUUCAACGAAUGACAAUGGAUUCUCCAUCAUGCCAUAAGAAUGAGAAUACGCAGACUUCAUUGCAUGGUUACCUCUGACUGCUUUUACUGCCGGUUUUACUACAUUUCACAUCAUUUUCAUAUUGUUCUUUCCAUGUUCACACUUUGGAACCUGGUAAAGUGAUCAUAAAGGCUGUUGAACUGUGACAUCAUCUUUACGCUUUCAUCUUUCAACUUGUUGGUCAUUUGUCAUACCCUUUUCUUUAAUUUUUUUGUAUAUACCUAAUUGACUAGUUGAUAUAUUAUUGUGUGUUUAGAAUGGAACAAAGGACUCUAUCAGCAAACUCAUCUCUGAUUUGAAUGGAGCUACAUUGGAAAAUGAUGUUGGUAUGAUUAUCAGCUGCUUCUUCUUGUCCCUAUCAAAUGAAGUUCCUAUUUUCAUCUGUAUCGCUUUAUUUCUUUUGUAGCAUACGAAAAUUAAAAAAACAUUCUUGACUUUUCAGGUGCGUACGCACAUGGACACAGUGUCACACGUAUAGCAGCAAAAUACCAUACAAACGGAGAAUGACCCCCAAUUGUUCAACUUUUAUAAGCACAUUCCAGGUUUAUCAUCCCACUGCAUAUUGACUGAACAGAGCAUUACUUCGUUUCAAACUCUUUGACUCUCCCUCUGUUUUAGCUUUUUUUGGUUGUAGGCUACAUACAUUAGAUAUAGUAUGUUCAUUUUAGUAUCUAGGUCUCAAAUUUGGUCUUUAAGCUCUCGAUUGUACCAAGAAAGAGUUAUUUGCGUUCUGCUUUUUUUUUUUCCUUUGUUCAUUUGCAUGCUUGGUUUUACAAGAUUUCUUAGGUCUCUGUUUUACGGUGGUAAUGCAGAUGCUGUCGUAGCACCUCCAUUCGUAUAUAUUGACCAGGUCAAGUCUUCACUGACUGAUCGUGUUGAGAUAUCUGCUCAAAAUGCUUGGGUUGGAAAAGGUGGAGCUUUUACUGGAGAAAUCAGGUAAAAACCUGUUAAACUUAUCUAAAUUGUACUUCUACUGGAACUUUUACUGGAAUGCACCAAGAAUUAAAUUUUUACUUUGCUCUUUCUUAAUUUAUAUCCCAGUAUUGCACCUACUUAUGGAUAUGUGGUCCAUAAUUUCUAUCUAUAGGUUCUAACAUAUUUUUUAUUCAUCAAACUAUCUGUGGUCCAUAAUUUCUAUCUAUAGGUUCUAACAUAUUUUUUAUUCAUCAAACUAUCUGUAAUUUGCGAACUAACACUAGAUUCGAAAAUUUUUUUUUCCUCUUCAUUUACCUGAAACAACAACAUUGACUUUCAAUUUCUUGAAUUACUUAAUAGUUUAUCCAUAUGCAAUCUUUGUUACUUCCAGUGCUGAGCAACUGAUCGAUGUUGGCUGCAAGUGGGUUAUUCUGGGUCAUUCUGAGCGCAGGCAUAUUAUUGGUGAAGAUAAUGAGGUACGCUAUCCUGAACACUACUCUUUUCUCAUAUACAGCCCGCAUUGUAACAAUCUAAACAUACAAGUCAAUAUCGUUAGGUGCUAAGAUAUUUGAAGUGGUCAUAAUAUGGUGAGGCUUUUUCUAUUUGCAGUUUAUUGGUAAGAAGGCUGCGUAUGCCUUGAGUCAGAAUCUUAAGGUUAUUGCCUGUAUAGGAGAGAAGCUGGAAGAAAGGGAAGCAGGGAACACUUUCGAGAUCUCUUUUCAGCAGUUGAAGGCUUUUGCAGGUAAUGAUUUUGUAAUUUUAUUGUGAAGUAGCUCGUCUUUAGUGAAAAAAAAAAUUUAAAUGAAAAUCAAUUCUCAUACACGCCUUUUGAGUUAUUGUUCAGAUAGUAUCUCAAGCUGGACAGAUGUUGUUAUUGCAUACGAGCCUGUUUGGGCUAUUGGCACCGGAAAAGUGGCCACUCCCCUGCAGGCUCAGGAAGUGCAUGUUGCUGUCUGCGAUUGGCUGAAAAAGAACAUUUCGCCUGAGGUUGCUUCUGCUACUCGUAUUAUCUAUGGAGGUAAGUCUACCAUCUCUCUUUCUUUAUCUCUGUCAGUGCAUAUUCUAUAAGGUGAGAAAGUUAUAUUUAGAAUACCCACUUUAUUCUAAAAUUUUAGGUAUUCAUGUUAGUUUGUUAAUUUUAAUGUCCGAAGCAAUCCAGAAACUUUUUGAGUACCAUUUUUUUGCAAGCAUGAUUAUCAGUGUCUUUCGCCCAAAAAGCCUUAAAAGUGAUACUUAUUUGCUCCUGAAACAUCUUACAUUCAAGGCACGAUACACAAGCCAAUGAAAAAGUAACUUACCAGUAGUAUUAGUAUUCCAAGGAAUAUGAAAGGAAUGUUCAUCAACCUUUCCCUUUCCAUACCUAUGUUGAAAUUCACGAUGCAUAUAAACUUGAGUCAAUAGUGUGAUAUGUGUCUUCUUUGCUUGCUUUCUAUGCUACGCUAACAUUAUACUUGUUGUAUAAUGAACCGAGCGAUAAUUUAUGCUUCUAUUAACAGGUUCAGUAAAUGGGAGCAAUUGUGCGGAGCUUGCAAAACAAAAGAUAUCGAUGCAUUUCUUGUCGGAGGGGCCUCAUUGAAGGUAUUGUAAUGUAGCACCAAAUUAAUCUUGAUCUUACCUCAUCCUUUAUAGUGAUUCACAGCUUAAUUAAAUUAGAAUGUAACUUCAUAGACUUCAGAGUGCGCUCAAAUUCUGAAAAUUUGGAGGUGGCCUUCAGUUCACUAGAAUUUAGCAUUCUGAGAAGCACAACAUCUUCUUUAAUAUAGUUUUAUUCCACAUUAAUAUAAUUUUAUUAAGACUAAGAUAUUAAUAAGUUAGAUAUAACAAGAUUUUAAUGAUGCUCAGCUCUCUUAUUUAAAAAAGAAGUACACUUAUUUCCAAUGUUUUCGUGUUACCUUUUGUCUCACAAAUUGGAACUAAUUAUUGUCAAAAUCUCGCCAUCUGUGUUACUAAUUUCCUUUGUUUUUAUGGUGUUCCUGCUGAGUUUGGUGCCAUAAUUGAUUCAUUUUUCUCAUGAGAUUAUGCCAUAAUACCAGAAAUUUGACACCUAGAAGUUCGCCUAUUCAAAUGUCUUCCCGUGUUUGUGCAGGGCCCGGAGUUUGCCACUAUUGUGAACUCGGUGACCUCGAAGAAAGUUGCUGCUUGAUGAUCCUUCUGAUCUCUGGAUACCAUGAAUAAGAUCGGAAAAGCAGCCAAUCUGAAUGUCUGCGAGCAUUUCUGUAUUAUUGGUCAUUAGUUAUUUUUGCUAAUUUUGUAACCAUCUAUAGAAUAAGACAUUUUGUACUCAUUAUUAUUAUUUCUAUAACUGAGGGACAAUCAAUAAUAAUUUUUCCUCCUGUAACCAUCUAUAGAAUAAGACAUUUUGUACUCAUUAUUAUUAUUUCUAUAACUGAGGGACAAUCAAUAAUAAUUUUUCCUCCUGUAACCAUCUAUAGAAUAAGACAUUUUGUACUCAUUAUUAUUAUUUCUAUAACUGAGGGACAAUUGACAAUAAUUUUUCCUCGAUUGAUCGGAGGACGUUUAUCAGAAUUCUCUGUCCAGUCUGAUCAGGUAUAACAUUUGGAAUGAUUUAAAUUUGAUUUGGUGUGUGCAAUAAUUUCUUUCGAUCUAAUGAUGACAUACCAAUUAAGCUCUGAAUUGUUGGAUCACUGCUUUUGUUGCGUGCAACACCUUUCUUUCUAUAGCCCUCUCUAAUGAUAGUGUUAUUAUGAAAUUAUUGAGUAAUUUAUCCGAGGAUACAUUGAGUCUGAUUUGAGUGUAUAUAUACUAUAAGUUUGAUAGGAUUCUGAUGGAUCUGUUUUGUAAAUAGCAAUUUAGCUCUUUUGCAGCAGCACCAUAUGGAUGUGACUAGUUUGGAUGAUCCAAAAUUAACGAAAUAGUUUCUUUAUUUUUUAUUUCUCUUUUAUAGGGAAGAGAAUUAGGGGGUUGGAUUGUUUUGGAAUGAGAAAUGGAAUGAUGAAUCAUUGAAAAAUAUUUGGUCCAUUAUCAGAACGAAAAUUCGAAGUUUUGAAAGAGGAUUUUGAUUAGGAAAAAGAAUAGUGAUAAAGGAAGUGCAGGGGGAAACUAUUGUGAGAGAGAAUUUUGAAUAAUUUAUUUUGGAACGGAUUAAUCUGAAAAUUAAAGCAAGAUUGGGUCAUAAUGGAUUUGGCCAUUUUCAUUUCCAACCGGAAUAAAAAUCGAAAUUCAAUUUCUGUAAAAUAAACAACAACUAUCAGAAUCAAUGAAUCAUAUUCUGAUUCUAUAGUUAAAAAUACGGAUAAUUGUCUAUAUAUCCCUUAUAUGUGUGAAAAUAUUCGAUUUAUCCCUACUUUUUUUUUUUUUCUAAAAUACUCCUCAUAUGUUCCACCGUUAUUGCAAAAUACCCCCGCAGUUAUUUUCUGUUAAGUUAACUUGGGUUAAACGUGAGUUAAACAUCUACCACAGUUAAAAAAAAUUAAAAUAUCAAUUUUGUCCUUAAGGGCAAAUAAGAAAUGUUGGUGACAGUAGAGGGAUAUAUUGAAAAAGAUCAAAAGUUAAUAUUUUUUGUGUCCCUAACUUUAAAGGCAAAUAAGAAAGUCAGUGAUGAUGGAAGGGUAUAUUUGAAAGGGCAAAAUAGUAAUUUUAUAGAGAUAACAUAGUUCAUUAAUAAAUAUUAACUCUAGAGAUAUAUUAGAAAUAGUUUGGAACGUAGAAAAGAUAUUUUUAAUAUUAGCCUUCUAAGAAAGGUAAAUUGAAAAGUCGGAAAUUUUUCAGGAGUAUAUAAACAAUUGCCUCUUAAAAAUAAGUAUACAAAACAUGCCCUAGCUGUUCUUAGUGUGUGCAAUUAAUGACCUGGUACCAAGCAUGCACUUGGAAUAAAAGAAAUUAUUGCAGGAACCAAGAAAUUCAAAUACCCAAGCAGGAGAAGGCUAAAGUGCAACAUCUACAUUUCUGAGAAAUUUUGCAACAGCUUAUUACUUUUCUUUCUUUGAUAACUAAUGGAUUAUAUACUGGGAUUGAGUCUCCAACCUUAUUUUUUGAGCGCGUAUAAACAAAACCGAGUCAAAAGUGAGAUUUAUAAUGGAUUGAGCCCUAAUUUCUAAAUAAAUGUAAGGUCAUAUAUGCAAAUAAAAGGUCAAAAUGGCACGUAAACGAACAUAAAUAGAAGCAAAUCAUAUCUCAACUGAACUUGCGAUAUCAUAUAUUGGGAGAUGCAUGGGGCUGGAUUUGUGCAGGUCUAGUUAAUUAAUCAUUCCCAUGACGAUAUAUAUAUAUAUAUAUAUAUAUAUAUAUAUAUAUAUAUAUAUAUAUAUAUAUAUAUAUACAUUAAGACUAAAAGACUUAAGAUAAGGGCUUCUUAAUUAUCUCCUUAUCCCCUUAGCUAAUGGGACGGGUUUUUCACUCCAAUCACAAAAAUACAUACAUGCGGUACCAAGUCGUUGGUGCUAUUAAAUUUUUUGCCUUUGGAUGGAGGGAUGUGCGGUUAGAAUGGUAGUAGUCUCCUGGGAUUGAGUGGGUGGUCCGUUGAAUAAUAUAAUCUAACGGAUGAAAAUGGUUAAAAGAGUAUAUCUAACGACGAAAAAUUUGAUAGCACUAAAGUGUUUGGUGCUAUUAAUAACACAGUAGCUAGCCGAACUAAAUGAAUGGAUUAUGUAUUAUUAUUCUUUCCAAUUUAAUCAAUAUUUUAUUAUAUAAAAUUAAUGCGCUUGGUCCACGCUCAAAUGUUCUUUUCAAUAUGCCAAUUAAAUAAAUCACGAAGUAAAAAAUUCUGAUUUAAUAGGGACCAUCCGUUGGCAACCGACUUACAGGACAACUGUUAUUGUAAGAAAUUAUUACCUGCACCCCGUGUACAUCUGGGAAUUACCAGUUUUACCCCUUUUAAUUUGAUUUAUCUUAUAUUUAAAAAAUUUUGAUUUUGCUGUUUACUCUUUUUAAUUUAAUUCAUAUGAUUUGAGUUAGUUAAUUACUCUUUAAUUUUAAAAUUCAAAUGCAUCAUUUAUCUUUACGGAUUAAAAAGAAACCAGUAUGUUGUAUACAAUUCAGUAUAAAAAAUUCUAUAAAAUAAUUUAAAUAUAUAUCAAUAUUCUCAAAUUAAAAAUAUUGUGCAUGGUGCAUGAAUAUAGAGAUGCAUCGGGUGCACGCAAUAGUUUCUCUGUUUUGUAACCAACUUGACAUGGUCUCUCCUUAUUUUUCUCACAUACAAAGUAACCAAAAAAAAAAAAAAAAAAAAAAAAAAAAAAAAAAGGAAAAAUUUUGCCUCUUCUUCCUUCGUUCCUCUCUUGAACCAUUUUUUUCUUCAUUUCUCUUUAUGUUAAUUAAUGAUCAAUUAUUCUGCAUCAUCAUCUUUAUAAUAAUAACAAUAUCGGUACACAAUUUUCAAUUCAAAUUUUUCAUCAAAAAUAUAUAACUAUUUUUUUCGUGCGUAUUUUUAAUAAAUUAUUUACUAUCAGAGAUAGAAAAUGGAGGAUCAAACCGCCAACCCGACAUCGUCGUCGUCCGCCGACAAGACGGCGACAGACGAGCCAACAGGCAGCAAUGGCAACGGCAACAACAACAACAACAACAACAAUAAGACGGCGCAGUGCUCAGUGGUCUCGAUUUACCGCGCGAAGAUCGCGGGCGUGCUGCGGCACGUGACCGUGGCGUGGACGAAGAGCCUGAUCAACCACUCGUUCGCGAUCUCCGUCGAGCGGCCCGAGGGCGGCGCGUCGACGUGCAAGGUCGAGCUGAAGCCGUGGCCGUUCUGGAGCAAGAAGGGCUACAAAUCGCUCGAUGUCGCCGACGACGACGAGGAGUGCCGCGUCGACGUGUUCUGGGACCUGCGGUCGGCGAAGUUCUCCGGGUCGGGGAGCCCCGAGCCGACGGCCGGGUACUACGUCGCGCUGGUGUGCGACGAGGAGGUGAUCUUGCUCGUCGGCGACGGCAAUAAGGACGCGUACAAGCGGACGAAAUCGAGGCCGUGCUUGGAAGACGCGGUGCUGGUGUCGAAACGGGAGAACGUGUUCGGCCGGAAGAGCUUCGCGGCGCGGGCGCGGUUCGACGGGCGGAAGAAGGAGCACGACAUUGUCGUCGAGAGCGCGAUCUCCGGCCCGAGGGAGCCCGAGAUGUGGAUCAGCAUCGACGGGGCGGUGCUGGUGCGGGUCAGCAACCUGCAGUGGAAGUUCCGCGGGAACGAGACGGUGAUCGUCGACGAGUCCCCGGUGCAGGUGCUCUGGGACGUGCACGACUGGCUGUUCGCCGGCGGGCCGGGGUCCAGCAGCGGGCUGUUCGUCUUCAAGCCCGGCGCGCCCGACCCGCAGCCGCAGCCGCAGCCGCCGUCCAAGCAGGAACACUUCGGCGAAAGCGAUCAUGCUAGCACAGUUGGUACGAACACGGACACGGACAAAAACAACUGCUCUUCUUCUUCGGUGCGAAAUUUCGGGGGUAAUUCGGAGUUUUGUUUCUAUCUCUACGCUUGGAAAAUAGAAUGAAUUGAUGUGUCAUUGAAAGGAAUUCUCUUAAUUUGAAAGAAUAUAAGAUGAUUUUAAAAAAGCUUUUAUGUUGUUUGUAUUGAUUAAACAAACAAUUAAUGAGGUUAGAGUUAUGAUGAUACUGUUGUUAAUAUUAUAAAGAUACACGACAAACUCCUCUUGAUCUUGUUUUGUUUACAUUAGAUAUAUAUAUACACUUAAUUAUUGGCAAAAUGUAUUUCACAAAUACAAAAUGUUAGCUAGCCAAAUAUAAUAAAAAUUUGCUACCAACAAAAAUAAAUAACUUAUAAGAUAUAUACCUUCGCCUCUGUUCCCCUUUUGUUAUUAUUACUAUUAUUUUAUUUUCUUGAGUGAAAGAUAGUAAGUUAUUUAUGUCGUUCAUUUAUUUCCUUUUUUUGUUUUUUUGGGAAUGAACUGUAGAAUAUAAAACAACUUAAUAUUUUAAACUUAAAAUUUUAGAUACCAACUAUUAAGUUCUUAAUGAACUGUACUAGCAGGUAUAGGAUCCAUUGCCUUUUGUUAUUUUUUAUCCACUACGUAUUACAACAUCAUCUCAGAGACAUCAUGUUUCUUUCCUUGUUUCGAAGGGUCAACUCUACCUUUUAGGGUGCGUUUGGUUCGCGCUAUUUUUUAAAGAUUCAUACUAAUCUAAUGAGAAUAAAAAAAUAUGACGAUGUUUGGCUAAACACACUAAGUAAUCUAGUUGGUAAUAUUGGAUUCACUUGGGAAUAAGAUUCACCCCAAAGUACUAAUCUUAUUUCCUUGAGGGAGGGUGGGUAUCCUCAUAUUAAUGGAUUGGGGUAAUCAUAAUAUGUCUAAUCUUUUUCUUUCUUCCUACCCGCCGGCUAAUUGAUACUAUUUUUCUUUACACUCUAACCUUAAAUCUCUCUCUAAACUUAUUUUUCUCUCUAAAAUUCAACUUUUUUUUUCUCUCUCUAAACUAAGCUUUCUCUCUCUCUCUCUUUCUAAAAUUUCAACUCUCUCACUCCCUCUAAUUUCAACUAUAUUUUUCUUUUUAUUUUUUUAAUUAUGCUCUCUCUCUCUAACUUAUACUCUUUUCAUUUUUUCUAAAAAGAUGUUGAAACUUUUGGUAACAUUAUCUAAAAUUAAUUAAUUAAUUAAUUAAUUAAUUGUAUAUUUUUUGUAAUAUUAAAUAAUAUGGCUAAUUAAUAUUACCGUGCGAACCAAACACACGAAUUCUACAUUCUUAGUAAUAGAAUGAAUAUGAAUAAGAUUCUCGGAUAUCUUUUAUUCCUAGUAGUCUUUCAUAAUGCGAACCAAACGCACCCUCAAUGCUAUCUGUCCGUCUAUCUAUCUAUCUGUCUGUCUAUCUGUCCAUCUAUCUAGGAGUGUUUUUGCAUCUGGGCUAUUAAAAUAUUUUAUUUCAUAAUCAAAUCUAAAUAAACUUGAGUUGUAGAAAUGUGUAAGAAUUUAUCAGGCACAAAACACAAAACUCGAAUUGCAGUGGAAAAUUAAUAUUGCACUUUUGAAAUUUUUCAAAAACCAAGAUUCAUAUCACAUAUGAAUAAACCAAAAGUGAAAAUCAAUUCAGUGCCAGCGGAUCAUUCUCAUAUUAUAAUAUAAAAAUUAAUCUAAAACUAAAUGAAUCUAAAGUUUAGAUUACAUCACCUUGAACCAAUUAAGAUUGUUUGAUCUACUGUCUGAGGUUCCGAUUAGUCACGUAUGGAAGAGGUGAGUCACAGAUUACAAAGACGGUUCUGAGAUAUUCUAAUAUUCACGAAAGAUAAUAUAGAAAAAGAGAGAUGAAUAAUGCAACCGUAUGGCCAUCAAAAGCAAUUAAUAUCUCCUCGAGUUUGGGCAAAUGAUAACUAAAUUAAGCCUUAGAAUAAGCAUCAAUCUAGCAACUAAUUAGAUCUUAUGAUCUUAUCAUAAUUAUCAAUUUAGUAACUAAUUGAAGCUUAUCCAAUAUUUCAUAAUAGGAUUAAUUCUUAUCUCUCUCUGAUGAAUUCAAUUUAAUUAGAUCUUAUCCACUAAAUUAUAAUUAGAUAUUCAUAUUUAUUAUGAGAUAAUAUUCUAAUUAGAUUAGAUUUAAAUAUAAAUAUUUAAUUAUUCUCUAAUCUAAUUAGGAAUUAAAUAUUUUGUAAAUAAUAUUCUAAUUAGAAUAAUUUUUCACCAUUUCCACUACAUUGUUUAGUGUAUUAUACUCAUGUAACUCAUAUGUUAUAUUGGAUGCACACAAUUUCUAUUGUGUGUGACCGUAUAAGUCCAUUAUCAUUCGUUAGUGAAGUCCAAAUCAAACCCUUCAAUAUUGAAUUAGAACUCUUCUAAUCUAUAAAAUAAUUUAUUUAAAUUAUUUUUACUUUUCUCACUAUCCGUGAGUGACACCUACCAGUAUACCACGGCAAUCCAAAAUGGUAAUGAAGAACGAACCUUUCCGCUAAUAGUUACCAUGUGAUUAAUUCCUUUCAACACACAACGCUCCGAUCGAACCAAAGUUAUGGUUACUCGUCAAUUUUAUUAUUUGGUCAUAUGACUAGAAUUUCAAAAACCGGCUCAGUAUGAUAACUUAGCUGGACACUCUUUUCACACACCAUGUAUUUUGGCUAGGGGUUUUCCGAGUCGAGUCUGAUAGCCUACAUAGAACGUUCUUUCUCAAUAUUGAAAGUGUUGAAUCCCUUAUUGCGCACUCACAUACCUCUCUAUAUAAACUAUUACAGCCAAUCAGUACCAUAUAUAGACCAAUAAUUAGAAUCUAAGUAUUAGUACAGUCAAACGGUAGCAAUUUAUAUAUGAAGCAAUCAUGAUGUCUCAGGUCCGAGAAGUACCUCACACAACUGUAGCAAAAAACUAGUCACUGGCGAAUAUGGAACAAUGUGACUGUUCAACUAAAUGGUCACGUUCAGUGUUUAUGUUCGCUAACAAACACUUGUAUACUUACUUUUAGUGUCACUACAUUAAUGACUUGAAAUUCAUCACCUCAACUUAGAAGUAUCGUAUAUACCAGCCUAUCUGAAAAUAUCAUUGCCCUUAUGAUAUUCCUAUGGUUAGGAGCGUUUAAGAAUCUUGUAGAAAGAAAUAUAUAUUUCAAAUUCCAAACUCUUAGAAAUAUAUAUAUUUUUUCUUAACAAAGAUUCAACGAAUGAUUCAUAUAAAUAUAUUACACUGCUAAUAAUAAAUAUGAAUAAAAUUUGCCCUUUAUAAUUAAGAAAAUACAUGUCACACCCCAAUAAUUCCACAUCGGAUAUGAAUGGAAAUGUGAUUGGGUAUAUAAGAGACUUAGACA